UUUACUUAGAGGAGCAUUUGCAGUGCUCAAGACCUAAUUAAAUAUAGAAUUUUAUGGCGAAUUGGUAAUGGCUCUCAUGUUAACAUAUGGAAUGACCCUUGGCUUCCUGGAAUAGAGAAAAAUAGAGUAUCAGUCAAUCGCAUUUUACCGAAUUGGACGACAAUUAAUAAGCUGAUUAAUGAAGAUACUAAUACUUGGAACAGAGAUCUGGUUUUUAAUAUUGUUGAUAAUGAGCAGGCAAAUCGUAUUCUGUCCAUUCUGCUUUCUGAAGCUCGGCCGUAGGAUAUACUGGUCUAAAAGUAUGAGGGUUCUGGAGAUUACUCCGUUAGAAGCGGUUAUCGAGUCCUUGUUACAGAGUAUUUACAGGGUAACAAUUACAUCACGCCUAAUACUGAGGCUUUCAAGGAUUUUUACAAGUCCCUAUAGGCUGCUUUACACAUCCCAGGAAAGUUUAAAAUACAUCUAUGGAGAUUGUUUAAUAAUUUUCUGCCUCACUAUAGUAAUCUGUUACAAAGGACUUUAAGGGUUGAUGUUCUUUGCCCUAUUUGCAAGAAAGUACCGGAAGACUCCGAACGUGUUUGGGCGUCUCUUCAACUCCGAACUGCCUCACCUGAUAGCCCUACGAAUUGCAAAACUCUUUUCAUUAAUAAUUUAUAUGCAGCUGAUGAUCAGAAAAAACAUCUUAUUGCUAUUUCCUUAUGGGCUUUAUGGAAUAGAAGAAAUAAGCUUAUUAACGAAGGAAAAAUAUUUUCUUUGCAGGAUCUUUCAGGUUUCAUUCGCGGUUAUAGUCAAAAAUUAAGUUUGUCCCAUGAAAAGUUGGUUGCUUUUUGUAGACCGUCACCGGAUAUUCUUUGGAGUCCUGAUUUUGGUGUUACCAAAGUAAAUUUUGAUGCAACAUUUCAGUGUGACUCUAGGACUUCUACAUUAGCGGUUAUUGCCAGUGACUACAAAGGAGAUUAUUUAGGUACAAAAACUUAUCUGUUCAACGAGGUAUUCAAUGCGUUCGUGGCUGAAGUGAGGGCGUCUAAAAGGGCGUUGCUGUUUGCGACUAACAUGGGCUUCCGACGUCUGGUGGUGGAAUGAGACUCUUUGACGGUCAUUAAAAAACUCAAAACAAAGGAAGAGGACAGAUCGGUUAUCAGACCAAUAUUCACCAAAUGUGUAACUUGGAAAAGUGUUUUGACGAAAUAUGUUACCUGUUUCUUCCCGUUUAGUUAAUGGAGUGGCCCAUACCCUGGCGAUGGAAGGAAGGAGAAGACAGCGGUCUGGAUUUUGGGUCGAUGAGGUUUCGGUUUCUGUCAAGAUGUUGAUAGCAAGGGAUCAAAGAAUUUGCUAACGAAGUCAUCACAGCUUGUCGUAGAAGGCUUUGAAAAUGGAGAAGGUUCUUGGAAUCUCCAUGGCUGGACUCAAAGCUUUUGGGUUUCCUCUGGUUCACAUUUUGGUCAUCCUUUCAUAGGAUAUGGAAGCUACUUGGCUGAUAUUUUGUUGGUUUCUGCUUUGUUUAUUUUGGCUUAAGGUGGUUUUACUCUCUUUUCCUUUAUGGUUUUUAUUUCCUAAGUGCGGGUUUAAUUGGUUUUUGCCCGUUGGUCUGCUAUUGAUUAGACAUUUCCUCUAUUCUCUUUUAGUUAUUACUUCUCUGCCAUCUUGAGCUGUGUGUUUAAUAAAUAUCAGUCUUUUCUUUACAAAAAAAUUAUUUUUUUAUCAAAAUUUUUGAAUCCAAUCAAAUUUUGUUCACCCUAAUUGUUUAUUUAUUUUCCUUAAUUUUGUUCCUUUUAAGUGUGCGUAACUUAUGUGCCUAACUUUCGUAAGUUAACCAAAAAAAUAUAAUCAUAUUAUUUUUUCCUUUAUUUUUUUUAGUUUCAAUGUAAUUUUCCUUAGUUUUUGGCUUAAAUUUUUGUGUAAUUAUAAUUAUCAAAUUUUCAAUUAUAUUUACAUGUCAAUUUUUCAUUGGUGACACAUGGUAUGCUCUAAAGUUUUUAUUCAUGUGUUAAAACCUUAUUUAUAUAUAUAUAUAUAUGAUUAACUAAGGAUGAUAAAGGAGUAGGGCGGGGCGAAUUAAAUCAUCAUCACUUCAUAGUUGGCAUUCUCUGUUUUAUUAUCCGUAUUGUUUCAUUAUGAAUGUAUAAUUUUAAAAAUUAUUAUUAUCUCUGCAUAUUGGGUCACUCUACUUCAAUUUAAAUUUUGUUACUUAUCUUUAAUAUUUUCAAUCAAUUAAAUAUUUAAACAUAAUUCUUCAAAAAAAUUAAAUAUAAAAUAUAUAAAUUUUUAUAUUACGUUAUUACAUUUUUACAAUUUUUAAAAUAUAUAUAUAUAUGAUAACUUCAUAUAAUAGAGCGAGUUAGAAUGGGUAAACAAUUACCAUAAGUGCUCUAAAUCUUCUAUUCAAAAGUAAAAAUCCACUCCACCUUAUCUUGCAUUGACUUUUGAAAAGAAAAAAAAAUUUACGGAUUAAUUUGAAAUUAAUAAGACAGGUUGAAAGUACUAAGUGGGUAUCCAAGAAGAAGAAGAAGAAGAUUUCGAAUUAUGAAAGUGCUUUGACUAUUCCAAUACCUCCAUAUAGUCAAGAGAUUCCACAAAUUCUAGAUAAUUUGGAUCAUUUUUUCAGUUACUAUUUCAUCUAUAAAUUUGUACAACUUUUUUUUCAUAAAAAAAUUAAAAUUAAAAAUUAUGAAUUAUAAUGAUGAAAAUCAUAAUUUUUUUCUUAUAUUUAUGCUUAGAGUUCUACUCAAAUAAUAAUUUUGUCGUAAAACUAGAACAACUCUUUUUAACUAAUAAUUGUAGCGUACAUCCUAAUUUUUUUAAAAUUUCUAAUUAGUGUAACUUCUUUAAAUUAUAAUUUUUUAAAUGUAUAAUUUUCAUAAAUUUUAUUUUAUUUAAACUAAUAAUUCUAAAUUAAAUCUUAUAAUUAAUUUCUUUCUAUAUUUGUCUAAUUUAAAAAUGAAAAUCCAAUGAUAAUACACAACAUUUUAUUAUUAUCAAUUGAAACUAAUUAUUUUAAAGAACAAUCAAGUGACAAAUAGAAGGUCCAAGAAUUAAAAAGAGAGAUAAAUUUCAAAUUUUCAAGAGUACAGGGACUGGAGGCAUAGUUAGACAAAAAAAAGAAAACUAAAGGAAGAAUAUAAGGUUGUUCACGCAGAAGAGACGAAAACUCUAUCCCUGUACCAAAGGUGAAUUACGAAUGGAUCGCUUGGAAACCUCAAAUGAUUUGUCUUCCGGGGCUCUUCGUCUCGCCGCAAAGAUUAAGGUUCUUUUUUCCUCCAAUUUUCUAUGUUUCAAAAAAGAAAUAAACUUUGCUCUUUAGCUUAGUUUUCUGGGAUUCUACUGCUUAGGAUUUUGUUUGUAGCUGUUUUAUUGGAAUUUUUAUCCCUUGGAAUUGAACAUAGAAGGUGGGUUCUUUCAUUUCUUUUUCUUCAAUUUGUUUCAUCAGUGUUACUAUUAGAUCGAUUGUAGAUACAUGUACUUAAUUUAGCUGUUCCCCCCCCCCCUGCUUUUAGAUUAAUGCAGUUUUUUUGUUUAAUUAAUUGAUGACUUAAGUGAGGAGCCCUUUUUGAAUCGUUUUAAUUGGGAAUUUGGGGAUUUUAGUGGUGUUGUUGUUCUUGCUGGAUGGGAAGUGAUCAAAACAUUGACCUUUUUAUUUGACUUUAUCUGGUCACUGCGAAAAAUUAAGGAUACGUGAGGAGAAGUAACUUCUGAAUUUUUUCUUUAUCAUUGUCCUGAUCUUGGUGACCUUAUAGGAAGAAAGAUAUUAUAAUCUAUUGAAUAAUAAGGAAAAACUUACAAAAAAUUAACCUCCCAAUUUCUUGAUGAGUAUUUGUUCUGAAACUGAUUGAUUCGAUAGAAUUAAGAAAGGGAUACCAUUUUUUGACGGUCUCUCGUAACUCUUAAGUUACCCUCGUGCUCUAUGCUCUUUCCUGUUGAACAUAUACUGGAUGUUUUUUUUAGAGAGGGUCUUUGAUAUUUCUUACACUUCCCAUAUUUUCUUAUCAGGAGGUUGUGAGGUUUUGAUUGGUGAGAUAUAAUUAUUAAGCUGAGAACUUCUUGCCGUCAUUGAGAACAAACUAAUUUAACUGGGAACAGUUCUAUUCCAUUUCUCAGCUUUAUGGUAAAGUGCGGUGUCUCUUUGUUUCGCCUUUCUUUUCUUAUCAUGCUUUCCAAUUGUACACAAGGCAUUCCAAUUCCUUUGCUCCUAAUACAAUUGGCCGAGGGGAUGGUAUCACCCCCCAUUGGUACUUAUUGUUAAAUGCUUCUUCUUCUUUUUUUUUUUUUUUCAAUUUGGUAGAUUAUAUUAUUUUUUGAUGGUCUUCUUUCAUGUAAAUGGUUGUACUGAAAUAAAUUGAAGGUUUUGGCCUUUUAAUUUGACUCUGACACCUUCCAUUUUACUCUGCUUUUUUCUGUUUUUAUCUCAGAUACUAGAUAGAGUCUUGGUGGUUUUGAGCAGAUUCAUCUAGGAUAACCUUUUCUUCUGAUUAAGAUAUUUAGCCAUCAAAGGUUGUUCUGGAAUUGAUUUACUAAUAUAUUGCAACCAAUAAGAUAUUGAUGGGGGCAUUCUUAAGUCUAAACAAUUCCAGGGCUGGAAUGAGUGAGCCCUUAGAUGUUUCACAAAAUGGAACAUGCAAAAGGCAGAAGUUGUCAUCAUGUCUUUCUGAAGAGAAUCCAAGAUUGAUUCCUAGCCUUCCUGAUGAGAUAUCUUAUCAGAUUCUUGCCAGAAUUCCGAGGAUUAAUUACUUGAAUGUGAGGUUAGUAUCUCGAGCCUGGAAAGCUGCCAUCAUGAGUACUGAACUUUUUAAUACAAGGAAAGAACUAGGAACAACAGAAGAAUGGCUCUAUAUAUUGACUAAGGUUGAAGGUGACAAGCUUUUGUGGUAUGCUUUGGAUCCAUUGUCAAGAAGGUGGCAGAGGUUGCCUCAAAUGCCCAAUGUUGCUUUUGAAGCUGAAUCCAGGAAACGUUUAGCUAGCCUUCGGAUGUGGAAUGUGGUUGACUCUGGCAUAAAAAUUGCAGAUGCCAUUAGGGGUUGGCUUGGGAGGAAGGAUGCAUUGGACAGAAUGCCCUUUUGUGGGUGUGCUAUUGGUGCUGUUGAUGGCUGCCUCUACGUGUUAGGAGGAUUCUCUAGAGCAUCAGCCCUGAGCUGUGUUUGGCAGUAUAAUCCAGUUCUAAAUUCGUGGAAUGAAACAAGUUCAAUGUCAACUGGUAGAGCCUACUGUAAGACUGGCAUCUUAAAUAAUAAGCUAUAUGUUGUUGGAGGGGUUACCAGGGGCCAUGGUGGAUUAACUCCACUUAAGUCUGCUGAAGUGUUUGAUCCUCAUACUGGUAUAUGGUCCCAACUUCCAAGCAUGCCCUUUUCAAAAGCUCAGAUUCUACCCACGGCCUUUCUGGCUGAUCUACUCAAACCGAUUGCCACAGGAAUGACAUCAUAUAGGGGAAGGCUAUUUGUGCCUCAAAGUUUAUAUUGCUGGCCAUUUUUUGUUGAUGUUGGAGGGGAGGUAUAUGAUCCCGAUGUAAAUUCUUGGGUUGAAAUGCCAGCUGGCAUGGGUGAUGGUUGGCCUGCAAGACAGGCAGGAACAAAAUUGAGUGUCACCGUGGAUGGUGAGCUGUAUGCACUCGAUCCAUCUAAUUCUCCUGAAAGUGUGAGGAUUAAGGUAUAUGAUUACCAAGAUGAUGCAUGGAAAGUUGUAGUCGGAGAGGUCCCCAUUCCUGACUUUACUGAUUCAGAUUUUCCCUAUUUACUUUCUGGUUUACUGGGAAAGCUUCAUGUGAUCACUAAAGAUGCCAACAACAAUAUUUCAGUCUUGCAGGCUGAUGUGCAAAACCAUUUUACUUCCCUAUCAUUAGCUUCAUUGAAUAGCUCACCUGGUGCACAUCCCGAGUCUGCAGAACCUGCAACAGCAUUUGAAAUGGAUCUUUGGAGGGUUAUUGCUACAAGGACAACCGGAUCUUCCGAACUAGUAAGUUGUCAGACACUCAAUAUCUAGUGCCACUGUUGGACUACUUAGGGAUCUAAGUUUCAACUUUCCGAAAAUUAUUUGGUUGCCCUUAUUUGUUUCACUAGAUCUGUUGAUUUUACAAGCGGCACAUUGAAAUUGUGAUUUAUGUAAGUUAUAACCUUUACUCUUGUAUCCUUGUAUAAUAUAAAGCAAAGGAAUUCUCUUGAACUGGAAAACAAGUGCCUGUUGUUUAUCUUACGUUGAUUUCACGGCUCCUUUAAGUGACGGUACAAUAUUCAGUAUUCUUAUGACUUGGCAAUUGAUCUUUCUAGUGGCCCACGUAUUUAGCCACUUUUGUAGUUCGAAAUUAUGCAUACGCCUGUAUUAAGCCCAGUUUAUGCAACACAUUGAAAAGAACCACCAGAUAAUGGAUAUUGUAGUUCCUGUAGAAUAGCUUAAGUUACAAAUAGGAUGCCUGCAAAUAACAUAAAGGAUUAUAAGAAAGAUUUAUAGCCAACCAAUAUUUAACACUUGAAUAUCAUCAGUCCAAGGGAUCCAACUUACAUGGCACUGGUUAUUUUAUUAUUUUACACAAUGAUUAUACCAUGAGAUGGCAUGGCCGGUGAAACACACCAUUUUUUUUUUAAUUUUAUUUUAGACAGUUACAAAGGGGUUUUCCCUUGGAGAAUAGUUUUUCCAGUCUCCAUGAUGCUUCUAUGAUGUGCUUUCUUUUCCCAAAAGCACUGAUUCUGAUAUACUCUGCACCACCAGGGCCAAAACCAGAUCCUGGUACCGUUAUUAUAUGAGUCUUUUCAAGAAUUUCUGCAAAUAUAUUCCAUGAUUUUGAACCAGGAAAAUGCACCCAAACAUACGGGGCGCUGACACCGCCAUAAACUUCUAAGCCAAGAGAGGCAAACGUAUCUACCAAUAUCUUUGCAUUCUCCUUGUAGUAGUCGAUCACUGCACAGAUAGCCUGAGAAUCAUAAAAAAUACAAAUUCAGCAGUCCUCUAGAAUACUCAAUCAUAGACCAGUUAAAAGAGUAUAGAUUGUAUUUUGUUAGACUUGCAUGCCAAAAUAAUGUUCUUUCACCAACUAUUGUUUCUUCCUCAAAGGUUUGGCUCAAAUCAGAAUCGACUGCAGCCAUUUCAACAGAUCUAAUUUGGCCAUUACGAUUCAUUACUAUCAUCAAACAUACCUAUGCCCGCAAGCAGAAUACAGCACGCCCUCAUACUCCUUUUACACAUUUGACUGAAAAGCUGAACAUUUAUGUGCAAGGCUUUCUUGGACUUACCUGGAAACCUUCUGGAGAAAGGCAUGCUAGUCCACCAGCUUGAGCUAUAUUGGAUGCUCCAUUGAAACAGGUGCAUACAAUGCGGUUGAAAUCAUGUAUGACAGGAAACCCACCUGAAAACAAGAGUUCUUCAGGCACUACUGUCCAACCAAGACGAACUCCGGUGAACCCAGCAAAUUUGGAGAAUGAUGAAAUUUCAAUUGCAACCUGAGGAAAUUUUCUUUUCUUUUUCAGUCUCAAGACAAAAGGGUAGGUUCAAAACUAAAAUUGAUAUACUAUGUUUCAAGGACCUGAGAAAUUGAUUUAAAAUUCACUUUUCCAUCCAGGUAUUUCAUUAAUCUAUAAACAUAAAAUUUAUGUUCUCAUGAACCCUCUAGAAACAAUUAUACUUUUGAAAAUCCAAUUCCUUGUUAAAAUGGUGAGAAUCAGUUUUUACAAGCUGCCAUAAGCAGUUUUAUCAAGUCUAUUUAACAAUCCCAAAAUGAAGAGAUCCUUCUUCAAAUGCUUUCUAUAUUCGUAAAUAACUAAUCAUUAGUCAAAGCCUUGCAAGUAACUGUACUCGAACAAAUGUUGACUGGUGUCUAGGAUUUAGUUCCACUUCAUUAGAGCUUAAUCUAUUGAAAGGCAAAAGGGUCAAAUGUCGUUGGUUAGCUCUCAAUUAUAGAACCAUUACACCCUGACAUUCAGAAGACUGAAGCAGGACUUUUUUUCUUAGCUAGAUGACAUGUCAGCAACGUACCUCUUUGGCACCAGGAAUUUCAAAGAUUGAUUUAGGACUGUCAUCAGAGAUAUAGGCUGCAUAAGCGGAGUCAAAAAUAAUAAUUGAUCCAUUAUCCCUUGCAAACUCUACAAGGUGCUGCAAUUGCUUCCUUGUAGCUGCAUGACCUGUAGGAUUAUUUGGUGAACAAAAGAAGAUGAUAUCCGUUCUUGGAGUGACCGUUAGAUCAGGGAAGAAAUUAUUCUGAGGGCCAAGCUGCAUGUACUCAAUGUUUUGAUACUUCCCAGUUUUGUCUUGAAAAUUACCAGCCUGGCCGAUUAUGACACUUGAAUCUAUAUAACCCUGUUACAAAGUACAUUUUCCAUAUUAACCCUGUUACAGCUCUAAUUCAAGGAUCCAUCGUAAAUUGUUGCAAAAGGCAAAUAUGAUCAGAUAUCCUUUUUAUUUUUUGCCCUUUUGAUCAUAUUAAAAGAUUAGUUCAAUUUUGGGAAACUAAAUUAAGAAAAUGGUACAGACAGAACAAAAAGUAUGAUGACGAUAGGCAGAUCUAAAUUGUGAAAAGUAGACUACUUCGGUUCCUGUAACGCCUAAUCUUUAGGCAGAAUUCUAAUUUCUUUCUAUGAAAAAAUUAGUUUCACGUUUUGUGAUAUUUUUGUAUUUUCAAAUGCAAGUGCCCCACAUUAGUAUAGAACAUCUUCAAAGUUACAAGCAAGACAUUGAUUAAUUAUGGCAGUUUAUUACUAAAAUUAUAUCCAUAUUCAGCUUGCUCGAGGAUAUUUUCCGCUAUUAGAAAAGCAACAUGCAGUGGAACAUAAGGUUAAACAAAUAGAAGCAUGAUAACAUCACCGGAAAAGAUGGAUCCUGCACGGCUAUUGUCACUUUUGAACCUAAAAGCAGCUGCAAAUAUCGACAGAGAAAAGUAUUCAGUACUUUUAACACAAGAAAUCUGCAGGUUGGCUCAGUUGUAACAUUACUUGCAUAAGAUGCAGGCCGCUGGCUGAAGGAACAAAGACAGGGGCAUAUAAAAAAAAAAACAAUCUUAUAUGAAGAGUCACCUGAAGGCGGGAAAUAUCACACUGAGAACCAUCUGAUACAAAAACUUCUGUAUCCUUUAUGGCGACAUCCUUGUAAAAUGUUUCGGCAAUUGCUUUCCUCAAUGCCUGUUAUUCAUACAACGUUAAUAUUUGAAACGUUUACCUGAUAAAUAAUUGUUUAAACAAUCACUCCUACUAAAGUACAAUAAGCGCAAAGUUACAANNNNNNNNNNNNNNNNNNNNNNNNNNNNNNNNNNNNNNNNNNNNNNNNNNNNNNNNNNNNNNNNNNNNNNNNNNNNNNNNNNNNNNNNNNNNNNNNNNNNNNNNNNNNNNNNNNNNNNNNNNNNNNNNNNNNNNNNNNNNNNNNNNNNNNNNNNNNNNNNNNNNNNNNNNNNNNNNNNNNNNNNNNNNNNNNNNNNNNNNNNNNNNNNNNNNNNNNNNNNNNNNNNNNNNNNNNNNNNNNNNNNNNNNNNNNNNNNNNNNNNNNNNNNNNNNNNNNNNNNNNNNNNNNNNNNNNNNNNNNNNNNNNNNNNNNNNNNNNNNNNNNNNNNNNNNNNNNNNNNNNNNNNNNNNNNNNNNNNNNNNNNNNNNNNNNNNNNNNNNNNNNNNNNNNNNNNNNNNNNNNNNNNNNNNNNNNNNNNNNNNNNNNNNNNNNNNNNNNNNNNNNNNNNNNNNNNNNNNNNNNNNNNNNNNNNNNNNNNNNNNNNNNNNNNNNNNNNNNNNCAGUUUUCAAGCCAGAACAACAGGUUCCUUCCGGCUUCGACGUCUUGCUCCCGCUCGACACAAAGGACAAACAAUCCGCCAUGUUGAGAAUCAGAGAGGAGCAGUCCACGGGGGAAGAAGGAGAGGGCGCCAGAGCAUGGUGUUGGGCAGCAUCAACGGCCAAGAUUGAAAGAAUAGCAAGAGAAAAAGCAAAACAGAAUUUUGAGGCCACCAUUGUUAGAUGGGUUAUGGGGCGAAGCGUCUUAGGGAGAAGAAAAAUGGGAGAUUUGUGGAAGAAAUGAAAAGAAAAGGCGGGGGGAAGUGGAUGGUGGAAGUGGGGGGAAUUUAUUAGAGGAGAGGCAUGUGGGCACACUCGUCGGUACAAUGAAAAGGAGAAGGGUGUAGGUGUCAAGGUUCUCUUCAUCCAAGUUUCUUACCAUAUCGAAACCAAAAAAAAAAAAAAAAACUCUUUGAAUUUUGAAUUUUGAUUGCAAAUAAAAAUUGAAAACUGAAAAUUGAAAAUUUGAAUUUGAAUUUUAUUUUAUGAAUAAAAGAUUUAAAUUUAUCUAAUAAUUUGAUAAAUUUAAUAAAAAAACCCAUUCAUAUUUUAAUUUUUGUAUUUUUUUUAUUUUAAAAAUAAAUAUUAAAAUUAUACGUGAAUUGUAGUUUAAUAUGUAAUUAUAUAAAUAGAUUUUAAUUUUGUGUAAUUUUACAUGAAAUUUUUAUUUGAUUCAAUCAUUAUAAAUUAUUAACACAAUUAUUCAUAUAACAUUAUUUUAUAUUUAUAUAUUGAUACAUAAAAAAAUUAUAUUUAUCCAAUAUAAAAAUAAAUUUAUGUAUUUAUUUCUUUAAUAUGCAUGAUUAAAUCAAAAUUAAAAUUUCAAGUAUACAUUUGAACCACAAUUAGAGAUUCACGUGUAUAAUUGUACAAAAUUAAAGUUUAUGUAUAUAAUUACACAUUAAAUCAAAAUAUCAUGUAUAAUUUUGAGAUUUAUCCCUUUGAAGGAUUGAAGGAUCCUUUACUUGUUUUUCUUUUAUAAAAAAUAAUAAACAUUACAUUUAUUUGUUAGUUUACAUAAUUUAUCUAUUUAAUGUAAUAAAAGUUUAUAUAUCAUGAAUUGUCAAAAUAGUUAUUUACGUUAGUGUAAAAUUAAUAUAAUUUUUAAUAUUUUUAACUUUCUAUUAUUGAUAUUUUAACAAUUCAAUGUUAAAUUUAUCAAUAUAAUUUUACUUAUUAUACAAUUAAGGUUUUGAAUCGAUAUCUAUAUUAUAUCAAUUUAAAAUAUUGUCCAUAUUAAUAUAUAUUUAAUGAUUGAAAGUUUUUUAUAUAAAAUAAUUAAUUAAAAAGAAAUUAUUUACAUACUAUAAAUUUAGAUUUUAAAAUUAAAUUGAUUUUAUUGAAAUUAUUAUAAUUUUUAAAAAGAUUUUUAACUGAAAUAUAUAUUAGAUUGAAUAAAAUUUUAUGGCUGUAAUUCUAUAAUUUCCAUGAGAGUGAGGAGUGGGAAAAAAAGGCUAUGGUUGGACCACUCCUUUGCAUAGCCAAAAAUCAUUUUUCUUUUUCAACAAUUUUCGUUUACAUUUACUUUUUGGUACUACAAUUUUAGACAACUUUGGCCAAAGUGGUUUCUUACUUUCCUUCACCUAAACAAGAUUCGUACAAUUUUGGAGUAAAAGAAAGAAAAAGAAACAACAUUAAUUUGCCUUUUUUUAUUUUUCAAAUAUUUUUUAAUAAAGUAAACAACUUUUUUUCCUUAAAUAUUAAGAACUGAAAUUCUGGAAUUUAUUUAUAUGCAAAUUUCACCAUAAAUAUCGUGAUAUUUUAUAAUAAAAAAUUCUUUUUUCACCCAUGAUUUUCGUUUUAUUUUCCUUUUUUACUUAUUUAAACUAUUCCAUCAUUCAUCUUUUACUGCUCAAUUAAAAAUGCUAAAGAUUAAAAAAAAAUUUGAUUUGUCACCCUCCUAUUAAAAAAAAAUAAGAAUGAUAUAGAAUCACAGUUUUAUAUAAUUCCUUAUCCUUCUCUUUUAAUAGAGUUGUUUGUAUAAAUAUAUCUAUAAUUCAUAAAAAUUAACAUAAAUAAACAGAAUGAAUUUUCCAUCAAUUAAUUUAAACAACUCCACCUGUCAUGCUAUUUGUAAGAUUUUUUUUUUCUAUUUAAUGGAAGAGAAAUAUUUUUAAAAUAUAAUUUUUUUCAAAAAAAAUAAAAUAAAAUUGACAUUGAAAAGGAAUGAGGCAACAAGGGAAUAACUUUACCAACGUUUAAUUAUCCUUUGAAUAGAUACGUUGCUUAAUAUGUUAAUAUAAGCAGAGAUAGCAUGGUUGCCCCAAAUUCCAAAAGUUUGAUGUACGCCUGCCCAAUCAGCUGUGCCUUGUUAUAAUUCACAAUAACUAGCCAUGUUCAUUCAUAUAUAUUAGUUAUAUAAUAAAUUACAUUUUUUAUUUUAUUAUUGUUUACUUAAAUUUAGUCAUUAUCCUUUUAAAAAUAUUCAAAUCACAUCCUUUUUAUGUAAAUGUUAAUUAAAAUAGUAAUUUUUUAACAAUGUUGGUGUGGCAACUCCCGUGUAGACCUGAUGUAAAAAUUUAGGCAUGUUUUCUAGGCUCGACCUAACCCGAAAAAUAGAUCUAAAGUUUUUUUCAAGUUCAAUUCUGCCUGCCCGUAUUAAAAUUUUUUUUAUACAGAAACAAAUUUUAAAAAUAUAAUACAUCAAAUACACUAAAAAUAUUAAAAUAAAUAUUUCCCAACAAAUUGAAAAUACAUUAAAAAAUAACACUAAGAUAGUUGCAACUUAACAAACAAAUGCCUCUAAAAUAGUAGCAAAAUUAACAAUAAAAUAAAAGUUAUACAAUAUCCAAAAAAAUAACAACAAAAUAGUAGUAAUAGAAUAACAAAAUGAUAGUAAAACAACAGUAAACAACAUCAAGAAAGGAGGGAAAUUUUUUUUAGUCAAAUUCGGGUCAAGCUCAAGUCAAAAAAUUAUUACCCAAGGAAGCGAGACUUAUUUUUUGUCCUAACCCAUUUUUUGGGCUGUAUUUUUAUCAAAAUCCUCUUACUUUUCGAGUAAGCCUUCGAGCUAGGACAGAUAGUCUAGCCCAUGAUUAAUUCUAUUCGCGUGACACUCCACAUCUAUUAAUAUUAUAUGUCAUGUCAAUAAAUAAUUUAAAUUUUAUAAAAAUAUUUAAAAAUAAAAAAUUCAAAAUCUAAAAAAUAAUAAAAUAAAAAUAAAGUAAAUAUGAAUUGUAAUGCAAAUUAUAAUAUUUAAAAAUUUAAUAUUUUUAUUAAAAAUAAUUUUACUUUUUAAAGAAAAUUAAUGAUUAAAUUCAAUAAUUUUAAAAAGUUGAAGAUAAACUUUAACUGAAAAAGGAAAUAAAUUAUAUUAAUAUAAUCGUAAAAAAUAUUGUUUUUAGGCACUAAGAAAAUAGUGCCACAUCAUUAAAUUUUAAAGAUAACAAAUUAUUAUUAUACACUCAUUUAUAUCUAAUAUCUUUUUCAACUUCAUUUAACUUUAAUUAAAUUACUUAAAAUAAUUAAUUUUUUAAAUUAUAAACAAACAUCUUUUCUUCUUUUACAAAUUUUAAUCAUUUUAUUUUUUUUCAAUAAGUUAAUCUCUUUUUUUGCAACUAAUUUUAAAAAAGCUAGUAAUUUUUGUGUAAUUUUUCCAUGUCAUUGACACAUAAUUUUAGUAAUUAUUUUAUCAUAAACCCCAAACUUAGAACAUUAGAUCUUGAACUCAAACCCUAAAUUUUAAACCUUGAACCUUGAUAUUUAGAGUAAGGGUUCAGGAUUUAAGGUUCAAGGUUCGGGUUUGGGUUUAAGGUUAUGAAUUUGGGGUUUGAGAUUUGGGUUUAAUGGUUUAGGGUUACAAGUUAUGAGUUUAGAUUUAGGUUUAAGAUUCAAGGGUUCGAGCUUACGUGUUUGGUGUUCAAGUUUAGGAUUUUAGGUUUAAGGUUUUGGGUUCAUGGUUUAAAAUUCUAGAUUUAGGGUUCAUGAUUUUGGGUUUGGGGUUGAGAGUAAAAAAAUUACCAAAACUAUGUGUUAAUCACAUGAAAAAUAUUGUUGAAAUGUUAUUAAAUAAUUCGAAAUGGACCAUGAAUAAUAUAAUAGGAAGAGUUUAUAAAAUAAUUUUUUUAAGGAUGAGUGUUUAAUAAUAAUUUUAUAUCUUUAAGAUUUGAUGAUAUAACAAAAUUUUAUUAAUAUUUAAAAAUAUUAAUUUUUAGCAUCAUCCUAAUAUAAAUUAUUUUAAAAAAAUAAACAUAAGAAGGUAAACAUUUAAAGCUAAAUAUUCAUUUAAAGUAUGGUUGGAACUUGGAAGUAGAGGAUUGUGUUAAGUGUUUGUAGGAUGCAUGCCAACCGGUGAUAUGAAAGGAUUCCAGAUGCUUCCAAGUUACAACCCACCUCUAAAUGUAAAAUAAAAAUCCACUUCCCAUAAAAAUACCAAAAUGGUGGGGUUUCUUUUCUUAAAGAAAAAAAAAAUGAAAGUGGUGAAAUUUAUAUCCUGUUAUGAUGGGUUGUAAUCAUAGUAGCCUUCAAUUUUGAAAUUUUGUAAAUGCUUUUUUUUUAAAAAAAUUACCAUAAAAGAUUUUUUUUACUAAAAGUUAAAUUAUAUUUUUUUUAUUUUAUUUAAAAAAUAAGUAAAUUAUAUUUUAAAUUAAGUAAUAAAUUAUUUUUUAUAAAAAAAUUUAUACACAUUUACUAUUAAAAUUUAAUUUAUAUAUAUUAGAAUGAGGUACAUAUAACACAUACGUUAGGCGUUAAUGUCUAAUUAUUCUGUCAAUCACGUUAAUUUUUUAAUUUAAUAUACAAAAAUUAAUUCUUUUAUUUUUUAAUAAAAAGAAUAAAAUUCAAUUUGUUAUAAUUUUGGUUGGAAGAUAGUGUUAAUAAGCCUCAAUUCAUCCACGAAUUUAGCUUUGUUGGGUAGUGGUGAGUAAUGGGUAAGACUUUUAGUUCAGGUAUAGGGCGUUAGUUCAUAAUGCAUUAAUUUAUAUUUCCAAAAUUGCUUAUUCCACACUUCUAUUAAUAAUUAUUCCAAAAUUCAAUAAUUUAAUUAAAGAAAUCAAUGGAUCGAUUCUAGAUUGAACUAGAAGACUUGAGUUAAUGGCUCAAUGCCAAUAUUUUAUUCCUGUACCAAUAUUAAACGUUUCAUUUUCUAACUAGUUUCUUUAUGCACAUUUCUUUAGUUUCUUUGACUUCAACUUCCUAGUUUGACUGAUUAUGGACCAUCGUUUACACGUGAUUACUAUAUUUAAAUAUAUAAAAUUUAUUUCCCUCAAAAAAAAAAAAACAAAAAAAACUCACUAGAUUAUAUCCCACUCACUGUGUGAGUGAAAAAAAUAUGUAAUAUAUUCAUAAAAAUUUGAUAUAAAAUUUUUAUAUGAUUUUAAUUAAAAUGGUAAAAUAAAAUUGAUGAUGGUUGGGUUUUAAUCUUCGAGUCUCAUCAAUAGUAUAUAUUUUUAAAGAUUUAACAAGAAAUUAUUUUGUAAAAGUUGAUUUUUUGUUAGUUUAUAAUUAAAUUAAAAUCUGAUUAAAAAGUGAUAUUAACUUAAUAAAAAAUUUCAUUAUAAAUAGAUUAAAAAAAAACCUUGAUAAAACUACAAAAAGGUCUUGAGGAAUCAAUCAAAUAUGUGUGGAAGAAAGAAAAUUAAGGGAAAAAUAUUUUUGAGGAAUCAAUCACUUUUCUUAAGCCUUUAAUUUUACUUCUAAAAUACAAUAAAUCAUAAAAAAAAAACAGAACAGAGUAGUAAAAAUAAUACUUUAAAAUAUGUGUCUCCUGGUACAAAUUAUGUUUCUAAUAUAUAUUGUAUGGCACAAAGUGUGUUGUCAUAACACUUUUUCAAUAUAUUUAUACAUAUAUUAUGGCACAAAUUAUGUUUCUUAUACAAACUUAAUGGCAAAAGGUGUGUUGUGUUAUUCCAAUAUAUUUGUACUUAUUUUAUGACACAAGGUAAAGUGAAACAUUUUAGAAAAGUCAUGUUGGAAUUAUAUAAAACCAAUAGGUAAACUAAUUUACUUAGUGGGUUAAGUAUCUAAGUCAAUUAUUUAGGUUAUACAAAUUUUGUUAUUAAAAUUUCAUAUACCAUGUAUUUCUUAACAAUAGGAAAUUACUAAUCAUGUAAACUAUUAAUAGAUAAUAAUUUUUUUUAAAGAAGUAACAAAUAAUAAGUUCGUAAUGAACUAAUUGAAAUUUUAAUCUUUUUCUAUUUUAUAUAAGUUGAAAUGAGUUAGUUGAAUUUUUAAUUUAUUGGAGGUUAUUUGGGUAAGACAGAGAAGUGGUAAAGAUGUGCGAUUCAUCUUGUUUGAUAUAAAACGAAUAACCAUCAAACAAUAUGGUCAGAGUUGAGAGUAAGAAAGAAGAAAGGAAUAAGAAGGAAUGGGGUGAGCAGCCUUAAGAAGGAAUUCCUUGCUAUCUAGUUUUUACAGUUCUUAUAUACCUUUAGUCCCUUAUCCCUAGACACCACAUGACUAAUUGCCAUUCGCGUGUCAAGUGACCAAGUGGUAUGAUUGUACAUGGCUAAGUAAAAUUGAUUUACCCUGUGUCAUCUCAAAUGGGAUGUUGUGACAAGAAUUUAAUGUGGCGAUUAUAAGGGCUCACGCAAUUGUUGGCCCGAGGAGUCUCCCCUGAGGAGCUUGAGGGGUUUGUUUGAGCGGUUCUUCCAAGGAGAUUGUCCGCACCGUUUAUAGGCUUACUGCUUGGUCCAAACAAUCAGGUAUAACAUAAUCAAAUUCUAUUGUGUCAUGAGGGAAAAUACAGGUUCUUAAUAUACUAUAUUCAAGCCAGCUUUGUCCGAGUAUUAUUUGCUAUUUUCAACUCGUUAUACUACACCAAUUUCAAGCUGAAAUAUAUGAUAUGAUCGAAUGAUCAUUCAAUAAGGUUAUCAAAGGAUUCAGGAUAAACGGUAGGUACGAAGAUAUAAAUAAACUUAAAUCUAAAUUUUAUACAGCCUCCCAUCCAUCCCUUGUAUUAUUUCUCAAAGAUCUCCAUGUUAUUUGCAGGCCAACAAGCUUAUGUCGAUAAUCCAAGUCAAAAUAUCUGCAUUUACAGAUGCAAUUAAUCCCCCAUAUGCCUGCAUUUCAUGUAUCAUUCAAUAAUUGAAGGUGCCAGGGUGUUAGGGAAGUUGUGCUGACCUUCCUAGGUGCAGUGCCAACUCAAGUUCAAUUAUUGUGCUAUCAGCAGAAGGCUAGACGACAUAUACCCAUGGCAGCCCAUGGCCCCCAAGGAAUGGCUGUCUUAGCUCCUUUGACAAGAAAGCAAAUAGAGGGAAUGAAAGUUAGGAAACUUAUUGCUAACAAUUUAUUAAUAAACUACAUCUGGUAAUAUGCAAAUACAUGAAAACCAAUCACUUCGACCACCCGCAUGCUUGGCACACCUACAUGUUAUGUUUACCCACACUUCCCUUUUUCCCCCCUUUUGUCCUGAAGGAACAUAUUCAUGCAUUGACACAUUUGUAUUACACUCCCGAGUUAGUGUAACAAACAUGCAUGGAUGUCUUGUGUAACAAAAUACAUUUGGUCAGAGGCAAUGCAUGUGCACAGAAGGUUAUUUUAUUAUCUAAUUAGUUCUCUAGUUUUUAGUCAAGUUGAGCUAGUGGAUCCUGCAUGGUCCUCCACAUCCACAGAUGAUAUAUGAAGAUAUGAAGAGACCAGGUGACGGCAGUUUAUUAGAAAUUCAUCCAAAAGGGGAUAAUUAAUACCGAAGACAUCUACAUAUGCCAUUUUUUAAUUCAAUUCCGUCAGCAUAAACUGUAUCUCAUCAUGAAAAUAACUUGAAGUAUUCUAUGAAAGAAAACCUUCUGGGUCACUUAAGCAAAAGAAGACAUGGUGUAUAUCUGUCGGCCUGAAACUUUUACUUCAGGCCAUGACCCAAUAAGCUGCAGCAAAUACGCAGCAAAUUUUGUUUUUCAGUCGAGCUCAGGUUCACAAAUUCAAGCAUUAAUCACGAAACAGUUUUAGAUGCCAAACUGCUAUGACGACUACAUCAAUAUCAAAGUAAUCUAAUAUGGAAUAGACAAUCCCAACGGGUUGAUAGAAAUUAAGACAGCUGGUCAACUGAACUCGCUUUAACAGAAAAACUUCUACCACCUUGUCACAAGGACGUUUACUAUAAAGAGGAACUGAUAAACCGGAUUAGCACUGGUCCAAUAUGAAGACAUUUUGCCUAAGAAUCAGGUCAAUGAAUAAUUUUCACUCCUGUUGAUAAUUUAUUUAAUGAAAAGGAAUGACGAUAGCAUUCUAAAUGGACAAAUAAGGGUUCACCUUUGAAAAUCUUAAGCCUGCAACAGUCGGCCAUAUUUUCUAUGAUGAUCUUAUGAUGAAUUUCCACAUGAUAUUAAUCAAUUUUAAACUAGGGCAAAGAUAACAAACUUACUGUGCAUGAUUACUGAAUCGCCUUUUCACCAAUGACACAAUAACAGUAACAUCAUCAAGCUUGCCGCCCCUAUAUCCCACGUAUCCAGCUGCCUGCACUUCAUCUGACAAUGGGCUCCUCACCAAUGAUAACUGACCAACCUCUUGCGCUCUAGUUGCCAAGAGUUCUGCUAUUUCCUGCCCAUUAAAUAAAUGUUGGGGUUACCAUGCACAUAAGACUAUCUUUUCAUGUCACACAUGCACCUUAUGCAUUUUACUACUAUAUUUGGGAAAGGAAAUGGAAAUGGAAAAAAACAGUGAUAAGCACCUGGGGCCUUAAACUCUCUUGCAAUGAUUUGGAGACAAUUGAAACUAUAUCUCGCUCGUAAAGAUUAUCAAAAAGUCCAUCAGUUGCAGUGAUAAUCACAUCUUUUUCAUACAAUUCAACUUUGUAAACCUGAACCAGCAGCCAUGUGUAAAAAGAUUGACCCAUAUUAUUUUACCUUUAUACGAGGAGGAAAUGGGAAAGGGGGAGAAAAGAACUUUUUACCUUCACCUUCUAACAUAAAGGAAACUCAAUAUAUGUUUGAAAAUGAAGAUAUAGGAUCAUAUCAGCUUUCAAAGUGCAGGAGGCAAUUACAAAUAUAUUUUUAGUGCAGGAGGCAAUUACAAAUAUAUUUUUAUCUUUUGUAUGCAAUAAUAAGAUUUUUUAUCUUUUUAGAAAUGGAAUUCAACCAGUAUACCUCUACAAAGUCAGAGGGUUGAUCUCCUCUUGCAAUCUGUACAGGAAAAGCCAACUCAUAAACCAUCGGAGAAGACCUCUUAAACACAGCACCGUUUCUUAUGAUCAUGAAGCCUGAAUCACCAAUAUUUGCCACAUGGAGAGCCUGCAGAUUUAUAAAGGCAUAGCCUUCCAAGUAUGAGUUGUAAAAAGGAACACCAAGUUCAUUCUCAGCCUCUUCUUUUUUGAAUUAUAAUAAAAUCAAGCCAUUAUAUCUAUGAGAAAAGAAAUAUAUUCAUUCCCACAAAGUAGAUUGACUAGCUAAUAAUUAGCAUCAGUCGUCAGUUCAUGCAUAUUUUGACAACAGUAGUUUUACUAAUCAUAAUACACAGAAGAUAAAUUUCAGUCUAAGCAUGAACAUUAUGAACUUUUGGAAAUAUGUUUCUUUAGAUCCAAUAGCAAUAUGAACUACUCUAUUUCAAUCAGACUAGUGGAAUAUGAAGAAUCUUUUUUGUAUAUGAUUAGUAAUAUUCCUACGUCAAGAAAGCAAUCUUUUGGAAAAAUCAUCAUUCAUGCAAAUAAGACUCUCAAUAAGAAUUUGAAAAUGUUUUGUUAACUCAUUAACCUUGUACUUUGCGCAGACAAAAAGUUCAUAGAAAAAAAAUUCAGAAAAGUUGAGCAAUUAAGUUUUCAUCAAAUGACAAGUCUAUUUGUAUAUCAAGUAACCAUUCCUCUAGUGAAGUUAAUUAGGUUUGCUUAAAUUUCUCGACUCAAGGCUUGUUAGUAAAAUCCUAGACUUGUUUGCAAACUGUGAGUCUUUGUUUGGUUAGGAUUAGGUUGUAAGUUAGUUCUAUGAUAUAACGACUAAUUGAAAUUUGCAUAGGAGAAAAGAGUGUCAAGUUGAAGGACAACAUACCUGAUCAUCAAAGUAAGCAACCAAAACCGUAGACGAACCACAAGAUUGAGUAUUUGCUGCAGCUCUAUUAAGGAUCUCAACUGGGUCAGUUAUUGGAACUCCAUUUCUAUCAGACACAAUUCUUUCACAGUUUUCCAUAAGUUCUUUUGCAUAUACUCCAACACUAAUCCCUGAAGGAUAAGAUAGGAAACAAAUAAUUCAGUCCAGACAGUGCAAAACAUACGAUGACAUUUAUUAUGCGUUCCAGUAUGCUGCCAGGGAUUCAACAUAUAUUUAAUGUAAAUUUAAUAUAUUUCCUAGCAACUCUUUCCUGGUUUGCAGUGCAAGGAUAAAAAUGAAACAUAAACUCAUUCCAUACAAAGAAUUGGUCCUGGUGAAAACAAAAAUAAGGAUAAUAAAAAAGAAUAAUACCUUCAAAUGACCACUGACCAACUCCAUCAGCAACACCUAGCCAAUUCUGGCAGGCAAUAAAAUAAGCAUCCUCUCCACCUGCGAAGGCCUGGAAUUAUUACUAUUUGAAUUACUCAAACAGAAUUCUCAAACUCAAGUCAAAUAUACAUCAAAGUGCCCAAGCAACUGAUAUCUUUCAAAAUUAAAAAUUUCUAAGGUAUUAAUUGUUACUUUUACAUCCAAAGUUCAUUAAGCUACUCUCAAUAACGAGAUGCAUUUUUUUGGCAUUAUAUUGAUCUGAAAAUGUUAAAAAGUCAAGCUAGACAAAACCUGACGGUAAAUUUAACAAAGAGUUUUGGUUUAUUUUUAUCCACUUCGACCAUAAUUCCAAAGUUUUCAUGAUUCUGGCAAAUUAAAACAAUUAGUUGAAGAGGUAAAACUGAUUAUGACUAUCCUAAGUACCUUAGUCGGAUUUGGCAACAGAGCAGCACCAGAAUAUAAGAAAAAUCCUGCUGUUGAGAUUUCCUCCCUGUUUGAACACAUUUAGAAAAAAAGUUGAGGAUGUAAGAGAACUUGACAAAAUGUUGAAGGGAGAAAGAUCAACCAAUUAUUUAAAAGAGUAAAUCAUAGAGAACAGCAACAAUAUGGCCAAAAGACAAGCAUAAGUAGAAAAAUUUCAACCUGAACUCAAUGCAAUGAUCUAUAAGAAAUAACUGAUGCAUUGAUCUAUAAGAUAGACAGGAACCUCUUUGUGUAUUCGUUUGACAAUAGAGUAGUUUACCUUUCCAAAGUUCCACCAGACUGUAACUCUACACCUUUAAGCAUUGUCAGCUGUCUGACUUUGUUAUCACUUUGUGCAUCAGCCUCAGUUAUCUCUGCUUGGGAAAUUGAGAAAGCCACACCCUCAUCCAACUACAAACAACAAAUAUACAUAUUACUCCAGGCAAUUUGAUUUGAGAGCACAAAUAAAUUCAGAUCCUCAAUGAGUGAGUUCUUUGCUUGCGAUGAUAAUGCAAUAGGCUUCAAAAUAAAGUAUUAUAUAGACAAAAACCGGUGACAUGCACAAGCAGGCAGCAUUUGACAAUUAGGACGGAGAAACCAUAUGAAGCCCAAUCAAUAUUUUUUAAAGGUAGUUCUGGGUUUCUGGAACUUAAUAAAGCAUAAAACUCUGAAGAAAAUAAAAAUAUGUUACCAACAACUAGUCAUACUCAUGAGAAUUCCACAAUUUUAAAGACGUUUUUAAGACAAUUAAACCCAAAACAUGCCCAAGUCUUGUAUUAUAACUCUAUAUUAGAUAGUUAAAUCCUAAAUUUAUUUUUAUUGCUUUGCUGAUAAUAACAGAACUUCUCUAGCAACUAGACAGCCAGAAUGUUUAGAUAAAGCACAUAUUUUAUAUUUGAAUCUUGGGUUAGUCACACAAAAACAGGAUCCUCACUGUGAUAUUCUUUAGGCCUUAGUCUUAACAGCUUUGAUGGCAUAAAAAAGCAAUAAGGAUUAUUGAUGAUUACUUUCUAUGUAAAAUUAUUUGACCUAGAAGAAGAGGGAAAACCAUUCAAUAUCCCAUCAUCAAUUUUGUUACUAUUUGUAGUAUUACAUUUAUAUAAUUUGACUGGGAUAUCCAAAUUGAAUAUAAACACCCAAAAGGGACAAGUUGUAGCUGCUAAUAUAAACAAAAAUAGAGAACUAACCAUUUUUGAGCUCUUGACUAUGUCAUUAUCAACAGAUUUAUUCGUUGUUGUAUGGACUGUAGCCUCAUUGAGAACUGACUCAACCUCAGAUAAAGUGGAGUUCAACUUAAUUUCACCAACUUCACCUUCAGUCGUAUCCUCUAUCAUCACUAGCAUUUUUGAUGCAUUUAUGCUUUCUUCAUUGCUAUGUUCUUUGGAAGGCACAGAUUUUUGAGCAACUUCUUCACCAGCAUCAUCCUUUCCGCUUUCCUGGAACUCAAGAUUAUUAGGCAUUUCAAUAUUGGAGCAGGCUCCUAAAGAAGUAGAUUGAAUUUCAAUUUCACUUUCAAUGCUAUUUUCAGAAUCUGCUACUUGAGCACAAACCUCUCCCACCGCUAAGUCCAUCUUAGAUUCCAUAUUCAAAGUAAUACUUUCAAUUUUACCAAUUCUCUCACCAUUUUCCCCGGCACCACUAUUUUCUUCCUCCUCCAGAUUAACACUGUGAGAAACUUCGCUUUUGGAACUAAGCUCUAAAGAAGCUAAUUCAGUUCUAGUUUCACUUCCACUAGCAGGAGCUUCCAAUGGAGGAGAAGCCUUUUCUAAAUCAGGAACUAAAGCCAUCUUAGACUCCAUAUUCGAAGUAGUACACUCAAAUUUACCAAUUCUUUCACCUUUUUCCUCAGCACUAGUGUCUUCUUCCUCUUCCAACUUAACACUCUGGGGAUCUUCACUUUUGGAACCGGACUCUAAAGGAGCUGAUUCAGUUGUAAUUUCACUUUCAAUGGCAGAAGCUUCCAGUGGAGGAGAAGCCUUUUCUGUAUCAGCAACUAAAGCUAUCUUAGACUCCGUAUUCAAAAUUGUACACUCAAUUUUACCAAUUCCCUCACCUUCUUCCUCAGCACCAGUAUUUUCUUCCUUUUCCAACUUAACACUCUGGGGAACUUUACUUUUGGAACUGGACUCUGAAGGAGCUAAUGCAGUUGUAGUUUCACUUUCAAUAGCAAAAGCUUCCAGUGGAGGAGAAGCCUUUUCUGUAUCAGGAACUAAAGCCAUCUUAGACUCUGUAUUCAAAAUAGAACAUUCAAUUUUACCAAUUCCCUCACCUUUUUCCUCAGCACCAGCAUUUUCAUCCUCUUCCAACUUAACACUGUGGGGAACUUCACUUUUGGAACUGGACUCUGAAGGAGCUAAUUCAGUUGUAAUUUCACUUUCAAUAGCAGAAACUUCAAGUGGAAGCGCAGCCUUUUCUGUAUCAAGAACUAAAGCCAUCUUAGACUCUGUAUUCAAAAUAGUACACUCAAUUUUACCAAACCCCUCACCAUUUUCCUCAGCACCAGCGUUUUCUUCUUCUUCCAACUUAACACUGUGGGGAACUUCACUUUCCAAACCAGACUCUGAAGGAGCCGAUUCAGUUGUAAUUUCACUUCCAAUAUCAGAAGCUCCCAGUGGGGGAGAAACCUUUUCUAUAUCAGGAGCUAAAUCCAUCUCUGAUACCAUAUUCAGAGCAGUAUCCUCAGUUUUACCAUCAUUCUCACCACUUCCUUCAGAACCACCCUUAUUUGACUCCUGUAACUUAACACCAUGGGGCACUUCAACUUCGGAACCCAACUCUGGUGAACCUAAUAGAGUAGUAGUUUCACUUUCAACAACAGAAGCUGUCAAUGGAGUAGAAACCAUUUCUACAUGAUGAACUAAUUCCUGAUCUAAUGCCACAUUCAAUUUACUAGAACCCUCAGUUUUACUAAUGCACUCACCAUUUUCCUUGGGGACAACAUUAUUUUCUACUUUUACAACAUCCCCAAGCUCAUCAAGUUGAUCUUUAGUAUUUAUAUUCUUAGAAGAAUCAACUGAUUUUUUCUCAACCUUUCUGCCAUCACUGACAACAGAGGCAGGUUUCUCUUUAACAACUUCAGUUACUUUGGUUGCAUUUCGUCUUAGUUUUCUCUUAGGUUGAGAUUUAACCUGAAAAUUACGGCCAACUUUCUUCCUCAUAGGUUCCACAGCUGCAGCAUCUCCAUCAGAAACACCAACCGCUUUAAUACUGCUCUUAUCUACCUUGUCCAAAUCUUUGCCACCAACUUUGGCAACAACCUUAGCACUUUCAUCGGUUGUUUGCGUUUGAUCUUCAAUUAUUGCCAUUUCACUCGCAUUUCCAAACCGGAAGAUAACGCUGCCAUCAGAAUGCUCUGCACAUUUCACCAACGCUUACAAUUAUCCUAACGAACAAAAUUUAAUCUAAGCUUCUUUUACUUGAAAUUCACCAGUUACUAAAAAUGCAACACACUUUCAAACAUCAUAACAUUAUGUUGUUCUUAACAAUAGUUGAUUCAACAAACAGUAGAUUCGAAUUCGAUCAUUCGAGAGUAAACAAAAAAAAGAAAAGAAAAGAAAAGAAUUAAAGUGAUCAUUUUAAACGGCGUACCGGUUGCUGAAAUGAUAUCUACAUCAGCAGAAACGGAAUCGGAACUUGAGCACUUGGAAACGACGAACUGGUGAUUGAAUUUAAGUUUGGGAGGAGAGAAGCGAAGUGUGUGAAAAUGCAAUUGAGGGAAGCGGAAGCUCCAGAAGAGUGAGUUGUUGCAGCUGGGAAAACUCAUGGAGCGAGCUUCAAGAGAGGCGAAGAAGAAAGGAUCGGCAGCCAUUGCAUAAUUUAUACUACCAUUUUACAAAAGACUAAACGCAACGGUGAAAGCUUAUUUUAGAAUGAGUUUAAGCUUUAAAGCUGGGGAAUUCAUAGCUUAUUCUACUGUUCUUAGCGUGAUAUUAUGGAUAAGGAGAAUGAUUGAAGCGGGGAUCGGCUGUUGAUGACCAGGGGUUCAAAUCUACAGUUUUACACGUGUCAGAAGAAGAAAAUAUUAGUAGGAAAAAAAUUAACAAAAGAAAAAAAAAUUAGAGCACAUAUUUUUUCCCCACAUUUUCUUUCUGACGCCACAAAUAGUAGUGCCUAGUUGGGGGAUGUUGUUGCGAUUUUGGUGAUGAGGUCCCUUAUUCUCUGUAGAAAUGGCAACAGUGCAGAUCAAAAUUUCUUUUUGAGUAAAACAGUAAGAAUAAGUUAGAUAAUAUAUUACCGCCGGUUAAAAUUUUUAAGAUUACACGUGUUCAUAUGCUUUAAUCAUGAAUUAGUUAUAAACUAUCAUAAUUUUUAGUCACUUGUAAUUGUUUAUGGUAAAGAAAAAGAAAAUAUUUUUGUUUAUUUUUAAGAGGUUUUAUUUUUGUAAGAGUUUUUACUAACCUUUUAAUCUCAAUUUUGAAUUUUUAUUAAGUAUUCUAGUCUAAUUAUUUUGGAACAUGUGUUAAAUAAGUUUUCUCCUUGUGUUAUAUACCAAUAACCUAUGUAGCACUAAUAUUUUUUUUUUCUCAAUUUAGCCUUUAUUUUUUAGCAAAAUUUGACAUUAAUUUAAAAAUAGUCAAAUUUAACUAUUAAUAUUUUAAAAAGAGUUAGGAAUUACUCUUUUUUUUUAACUAAGACCUUAAAUUUUUAAACCAUUACAGCUCAAAUGGUAUCAUAUAUUUUUUAAAAUUUUUAUGAACUUUAUAUACAUAAUGAACUUUGUUGAAUAUUUUUAUCAUUUUUAAAUUAUUUGGCAACGUGACAUAUAAGAUAAAUACUAUCAUGUACACAUAGACUAGCACAUGGGUUGUCACAUUAAUAUCGUUAAAAAACAAUUUUUUAGUCAGUGUUUCCAUAAAAAAAAAGGUAUUUCAAAUUUUUUUUGAAUAGUUAAUGGUCAAAUUUAGCUAAAGAAAAGAAUAAAUACUAAACUGACAAAAGACGUAAAUAUUGAGGGAUGAAUUUAUCAUUGUACAUUUAAUUAAUGAAAUGUAACAUUAGUAAAAAUUUUAAUUUAUUAAACUAGUUUUUCAACCCACGCACGUUGAGUUCAUCAUUUUUGGGCUAAAUAGUUAAAAUUCAAAUGUUACGAUAUAUUCUAAGUUUUUGUACUCUCUCUAUAUUUGACAUUUAAUCCCCAUUUUUUAUUUUUAAGAAUUUUGUUUAUCUAUUUUUCGAAUUUAAAAAUUCAAGUCCAAUUGUUAACUUUGUUAAAUUUAUUGAUGUGACAUUCUAAAUAUUUUAGAAAAAGUACUUACUAGAUAAUCAUGUCGCAAAAAAUGACGUCAUAAUAGACUUGAAAUUAACAAAAAGUUUAACAAUGUUAACAAUUCUUUAAAUUUACAUUAACAUUUUAAUUAGAAUAAAGUAUUUAGAUAAACCAAUAGAAUUAUAAACAUUGAGUUACCAAAUUAUAUAAAAAAAAUCAAUUAUAAAGAUCAGAUCUCAAAUUUAGACGUAGUAUGGACACCAAAAUUGAUAUUUAACUUUUUUUUACAUAAUUAAAAAGUAAAAGGGUACCAAAAUUGAAAAUUCACUAGUAUAGUUAAAAAUAUAAAAAAAAUAAAAGUAAACAAUAUUCGGAGGUCAUAUGCUUCAAUAGGCUUAAAUAAGAGUUAAUAUGUUUUAGCAUACUUGAACCAGAGGCAAAUCCAUGCCUGCCCCUCUAAAAUGAAAAAUUGUUAUUUAAGCUUUUUAAAAUUUUUUAAAAAUUUUAAAUUAACAAAGGUAAAAUUUUCUUUUGACCCCUUAAAAUUAUAAAAAUUCAAUUUAAUCUUUUAAAAAUUAUAAAAAUAUAAACUAUAAAAAAUUAAAAAUUGUUCUAGUUUCCAUUGAGUUCAACCCUCAUUUUCCCGUAAAUAGAAGGCUUUAUCCAAUAGCAAAAAUUUAGCUGCAGUUGGUUGCGAAUUUCGAGCGCCCAGUUAAUCUGUUAUGCUCAUUUGAGCUAAUAAAUGGAGGUCUAGUUAUUUUGAAACUUCCAACAUAGAAUCUCAAAUUCUAUUUGUUAGGCAAUUCAUAUGAAAUCAAAGAUACUUACAUAUGUUAGGAGAAAAAAAAACACUAAGUACAGAGAUCGUUAAUCAAAUAAAAAAAAGAACAUAAUUGGUUAAAUGUAGAAGAACCAUGAGAGAGUAAUUUCAGCAAUGGCGAGCUAACUAGCUAAGGUGAAGAAGACAAAAGGCGAGUGAGUUCAUCAGAGAGUGGAGGCCUUGAAAGUGUUGUCAAAGACAGAACAAAAUCCUUUGGAACCAAACACUUUUCUUCUAUGUAAAGCUUUUCUUGUACCUUUGAAGAUGUUACAAUUUGCAUGCUUUCCUUGUCCUUGCGAUUCCCUUCCUUAUUUUCCUGCAUUUAUAAUUAAACCCCUUAAUUUGCUUAUUUUACCAAUCAUGUAAUGGUAAAAAUACCUCCCCAAUCCCUCUCAAUUGGUCCCUUCUUUUAAAAAAAGAGCAAUUUAAUCUUUGUCAAUUUUAAACAUUAACAACUAAAGACAAUUUUCGUCAAUAUAUCGUACAUAAUUUUGAUUGGUAAAACAGCACAUUUAGCCCUUGAUGUUUACAUGUUUUGUCAAUUUGAUCUUGGUUCUAAAAGAUUUAAUAAAUUUAGGCUCAACAUUUGCACAUAUAGGCAAAUGUUGUACACUAAAUUUGGGAUCACAUUGACAAAUUAAAUGUCUAAAAUUUGAGAGCUAAAUUUAUUAUUAUAACAAUCAAAAUUAUGUACAAUUGAUGAAAAACAUUAAUAUCCAAAAUAAUGUUCUUUAAUUGCUUACUUUUGAAAUUAAUAAAGAUUAAAUUACUAUAAUUUUUUUAAAGAAACCAAUAAUAUGAUUGAAAUUGAUAGAUAUCGGAAAGGUUUCUUAAGAAUGAAAAUCUAGGUUUCUAUAUACUUGGGGUAGAGGAAAUUGAAAUUUUCCUUUUUUUUUUAAUAAAUGAUGACAGUAAUCUAAUUACAAAAAUAAAAUAAAAGAAAAGAAAAGAAAAGAAAAAAAGAGAGUAAGAAAUAGCCGAGAAAGUUACUGGAAAGGAGUUCAUAAGUUGAAGGAUUCCAAGUUGAGCUUGUAAAUACUUGACAUAUUUAAAAGCAGCUUGAAGCAUUUCAGCAGUGUUCAUCUUAGUCCCACCAGGUACAAGCUUCCCAAGUUCUUGAGUCUUCUUAGUUAUCUUCCUCCGCCGCUCUCUCGCCGCAAUGCUUUGUACCGACACACACUUUUCAUCGCUAAUUUUCUUACAGUUUCCUACUGUGUGUGUUCCUUCCAAGUUAUAAACACCAUUCAUGCUAUGAGGGCAAGAAUUUAGAGCAACCCCAUCAAAGAAACCAGGCAUCAAACAAUGAUCUUCGAUGAGUUUGUGGCGUUUAGGGCAUGGAUAAGAGCUGAAGUAAUCGUAUGGGGUGAUUAAAGGGUCGUAAGGGAGUAAAGGGGCACUGUAGUUUUCAGGGUGAAGGAAAUUGUUGUUUAGGUCAAUGCAAGGAUCGAGAAAAGUUAAAGGGGGCUCAAAUGGUGGAUCACAGUAAUAUUGAAGAUGCUGUUGUUGUUGUUCAUGAUGAUCAUCAGCUUGAACUGCUUUUGUAAUUUGAUGAGUUGGUUCCGAGUUAAGAUUCUGAACAUCGGUUUCGCAGUUGGAGUAAUAUGAACUUAAAGCCAUGGUAGUUGUUGAAAAGGAAAACAAGCAAAACCAGAAAUGCAAAUGGGAAAACAAUUACAAGGAAACUUAGAAAAGGGAUUUCAAGGUGGAAAAUUGUCAAAAGUUUCAGUGGUUCUUGACCUGUCGAGACUGGAGACACAAAGAGAUUUUUUAUUUUUAGAAGACAGAUACUUGAUAAAAUCACGAAAAAAUAAUGAAAAAAAAAAACUGAAUGUGAGAGAAAGAGAGUGGUAGGUUGAGAUAAAAUAGGAAAGAUGGGUUAAGGUAGUUAACUGUCUCCUAAAAACGCUAGGGUUCUUUUCCCCCUUCCUAUUAAAGAAACUGAAAAACAAAGAUCCUUUUCCACGCUUUGGUGGCGGCUGCCAUGCAUACUCGUUGGAUUCAUUUAUUGGAUUAAUGUACCCUUUAAUACUUUAAUUUACUUGUAUUUUUUUAAUCAAAUUUGAAUAUGAUUUUAAUAUUUAAUUUGGUACCUACCUAAACCAAACAGAAUCAUGUAAUUAAAGAAUGUUUGACAUAUGUGUUCUAAUAGAAAGACGUAAGUAUUAGGAUAAAAAAAAUUAAGCAUCAAAUUAAACGUUGAAGCCAAAAUUAAGUACUUAAUUGAAGCAAAAAAUAAUUCAACUAUCAAAUUUUUAAAAAAAAAUCCAAGGUAUUAAAUUAUAUUCAAGUAUCAAAUUUAAAAAAAAAAAAACUCAGGUACCAAAUAGUUCGUAAGUUUUAGAUUUAGUUCUUUUACUUUAAUUUUGUAAAUUUUAGUUCAUGUAUUUUUCGAAUUGGUCAAUUUUAGUUUGUGUCCUUUUCAAAAUUUGAAAUUUCAAUCCUGACCCAAAUAGUAAUAGUUAAAUUUAUUUGGAUAAAUUAUGUUAUCAAUUAUGUACUAAGCAUAAAGUUGUUCAAUAAUUCAUGUUUUUUAAUUGCAUCAUUUUUAAUUCAUAUAAUUUUUCGAAUUUUAGCCUUAACACAAACGACAAUAGUUAAAUUUAUUAACCAAAUUUCAUUUUAGUAAUAUGUAGAAAUAAAAAAAAAUACAUUUUACUACAUAUGAUAAUAUGUUUGUCGAAUCAUAUUUUGAAAAAAAAAACUUACCGAAUUUAAUAUUUAUUAGUUAGUAUUAAAAUAUUAAAUUUAAAAAAAUAUAAAAACUAAAAAUGAAGAGAUGAAAAUAAAGAGAAUAAACUCAUGAUAUAGGAAAGCACAAUUUAAUUUUGAUUUUAUUCAUCAAUCCAGUCCUUUUUUUAUAACCAUCGUAAAAACUUGGAGCCCUUUGUAGCUUCACCACGGCAGUGUUGUAGUUGGGUUUUUUUUUUCUUUUACUUGAAAAUUAGAUCUAUUUUGAUCUUUAAAUUUAAAGUUUGUCAAGAUUUGAUGAUGUGACCAGUAUUAUUGGAACAAGAUUAGAUUGGACGAAUAAAAAAUUGAUUGAUAUAAGGUUUGAAACUAAGGGGUUAAACUAAUUGACUGAAAAACUGCUUGAAAUUGAUAAAAAUCGAAAACUAGAAUAAAUAUAAACAGUUGAACAAGUUGAAUCGAUUUAAUAAUAUUUUUAGAUUUUUAUGAAUUUUUAUUAUUUAUUUAAUUGUUCUUAGUCUGGCGGUCAAACCGAUUGAACUAGUUGAAUUGGGAACAUGUUUAAUUUGUUCAACAACUUGUCUUUAUUAAUUGAAUAUGACAUUCUGAGAUUGUACUAUAUCAUCGUUGGAAAAUUAAUAAGAAUAGUUACCAAAGUGUACCUAGUUGUCAAGUUAAGAGGCCAAAAAUUAUAUUAUCCCUUGCUAAAAGUAGUGUAUGAAUUUAUAUUAUAAAAUUGUUUGAUAUAUAUUUCGUAAAAAUUAAGCAUGAAUAGAAUUAUUUUGUUUGAUAGUAGUAAAUCUUGGAUUUUUGAAAAUUCAUUUUUAUUAUUAUUUUAAUCUUAUUAAUAUGAUAUUAUUUAUUUUAUUUUGAAUCGUUUUGGACAAAGCUAAAAAGACAAAAUUUGAAUAUUUUAAUUUUUAAUAAAAUGAAGAUUUAAUUUAUUUCAAAAAUAAUAUUCUUAAUAUUGUUCACAUUAAGUUAUAAGUAGUUAUCAAACAUAAUUAAAAAAAUUAUUGGUGAAAUUUUUAAUAGUUUAUUAGACACACUCUAUGUUAAAAUAUGCUAUAGGUCCUUGUACUUUUCAUAAAUUUGAAAUUUAGUCUUUGUACUUUUAUUUCAAGAAAACUUUACUUUUUAGAUCUCAAAAUUUAGGUUUAACUGUUAACAAUGUCAUUUUUUUUGUUAAAUUUAUUGGUGUAAUAUUUUAAAAUAAAAAAAUAUUUACUUAAUACUCAUGUAAUUAAAAAAUAACAUUAUAAUAAACUUAAAUUUAACUAAAUAAUUUUAGCAGAAUUAACAAUUUAACCUUAAUUUUAAAAUAUAAAAAAUAUAAAAACUGAACCCCUAAUUUAUAAAAAUGUAAAAACUUGCUGCAUAUUUUAAACACAGAAUUAAAUUAUUUGAAAUUUCCCAUUUUAUAUUUUUAUUUUUUGGGGUUUACCAUGAAAAAACCAGUCAUUGAGAAAGAUGUUUUAGAGAAAUAGGGAUUAAACUGACAUGCAAUUUUUUUUUUGAAAAUAACUGACCUGCAAGUUUUAUUUAUGACGACAAUGACCAAAGACUUCAUAAAUUCAAAGCAUCCAAUAAAAGAAAAAAAAUAAAAAUGAUCCAUAUAUGCGAUAUUUAAUAUAUAGACAAUGAAUAUCACAUAUUAAAAAUAAUUAUUUGCUCAAAAAAAUAAUUAUUAUGUUUAUUUUCAAUAAUUAUGAAAACAGUCGACACCUAGUGGCAAAUUGAUUUAUGAUACUCUUACAUGUUACAUUUUUAUAUAAAUUUGAUAAAAAAAUAAUAAUGUACAAACAUGACAGCUUAGAUCUUAAAUCUUAAAUUUGAGAUCUUAAAUUUGUGAAUUAUUAUUAUAAUUAUAAUUAAUGAUUAUUAAAUUAUAUUUAAAUAAAAUUAUUAAUAUUUAUUUAUAAAUUUUUUACAAUUUUAUUUAAUUUAAUUUAAUGAUGAUAUGUUUUCUAACUGCAUUAAAUAUUUGUUGGUAUAAAUAAUUAUUAAUAAAUUAUAAGAAAAUCACCUAUUAAAAAAUAAUAAUAUGUAUUUUUAAUAAACUUAAAAUUAUCAUUAAUUUAUUACCAUAUGUUAUAACAUAAUUCACUCAAUAAUAUAUAAAUUACAAUAUAUUCAUUAUAAUUAUAAAUUACAAUAUAUUAAAUACAAACAUAUAUUUUUAUAAUUACUAUUAUUGUUGGGGGAAGGUUAUUAUUAUAUGGAGGAAAACAGGACCCACAAGGGUAAAUCAUAUCCAGGAAUCAAAGGAUCAAAAACAAGAAGAGGCCAAUACACGUUCCACGUGGUUGGGAGCAACAUAGAGAUGUAGAUUGACCUUAACUCCCCAUUGGUCCGAAAUCUAUCCUCCUUACUCCCUUAGAUUUCCUCUUAAGAUUUCAUCAUCCUACUUGUCUUUCUACAAAUCCUUUGAUUCCCACCAUUUUCCACCACAAGCGUGUCCAGAAGGUUCAGAGAUUUUAGAGAGAACAAACAACAAUGGCUGCUACAUCUGGGGCUGUACUAAAUGGAUUAGGCUCUUCAUUUCUUUGUGGGGGAAAGAGGAGCCAAGCCCUUUUGGGUGCCAGCAUUGGGGCCAAAGGCUCGCCCUCCCCUACUGCUGGAACUAGAAAGUUGAUCGUUGUGGCAGCCGCCGCACCUAAAAAGUCUUGGAUCCCUGCUGUUAGAGGUGGUGGCAACUUCAUUGACCCUGAAUGGCUCGAUGGAUCGUAUGUGUUCCUUUUCCUUUUAAAUCUCCCCUUUCCCUUGUUUUAGUCUUUGUGGUUUGCAGUUCUUAGUAUAAAGUUUGCUUUUUCAGGCUCCCUGGAGACUACGGAUUUGACCCACUAGGUCUUGGAAAAGACCCAGCAUUCCUCAAAUGGUACCGAGAAGCUGAGCUGAUCCAUGGACGUUGGGCCAUGGCUGCUGUCGUCGGCAUCUUCGUCGGCCAAGCUUGGAGUGGCAUUCCAUGGUUCGAGGCAGGAGCUGACCCAGGUGCGAUAGCUCCAUUCUCUUUCGGCUCACUCCUUGGUACUCAGCUCAUCCUUAUGGGUUGGGUUGAAAGCAAGCGGUGGGUUGAUUUCUUCAACCCCCAAUCACAAUCAGUGGAAUGGGCAACUCCAUGGUCUAAGACCGCUGAGAACUUCGCCAACGCCACAGGUGAGCAAGGGUACCCAGGAGGCAAGUUCUUUGACCCAUUGGGGCUAGCAGGAACCAUCCAGAAUGGGGUUUACGUCCCUGAUUUUGACAAGCUCGAGAGACUUAAGCUUGCUGAGAUUAAGCAUGCUAGAAUUGCGAUGUUAGCCAUGUUGAUUUUCUACUUUGAGGCUGGCCAAGGAAAGACACCCCUUGGUGCUCUUGGAUUGUAAAAGAAAACUUUAAGGAUCUGUUUGGAUGUAGAUAACUGAGUUAUGUCUUGGACGUAAGGAGAGUUGAGCAAGAAAAAAACUGGAAAUGGUGUUUGUUGAGCUGAUGAGUUCCCUCAAUAGUUAAAAAUUCUAAAGUAAAAUAUCUGAUGUUCAUUGAUUAAAUACAGAUUCUGUCUACUGAUGUAGUAUACUAUCAUUUCCAUGGAAUUUCUCAGACAUAAUGAAAGGUGAAUUUGCUAAAAAUUAAAGAGAACAAAUCAGGAACCAUCUGGUAAUAAAUAUUCAUGGCAAAAAAAGAAAGAUAUUUGUUAGUUUCUCAUGGAAAUUACUGAGUUCCAAUUGAUCUAGACAUAAAAAUCUUAAAAUUUUGGCAAAAAAUAAAAAAUAAAAAAAACUUAGAAAUAAAAAUGUGUGCCAACAUGCUAUCCGUCUAAUUAUAAAAUGGUUCUUCUGAUUGUUAGAUCCAAAAUUGAUAAUUGCAAGUAGAAACUUAGUAGUGACUAACUGCUUCAAGCUCCAAUGAAAAAUAAAGCACAAAAAUAAUCAACACUAGAUAUGUUUAAGCAAUUUUGUUUCUUACAUGUGUGUAGUAAUUUUAUAUAGAGAGGUAAUUCACUAUCUUAACAUUUUGUACAAUGAGUGAUUAAAGUACUAACACCAAUUAAAUUAGCAACCUCACUUUUGUUCUUAAGAUUUAAAUAUUCUAAAUUUUCCCUCUCAAAACUUAGGACAUCAACCAAUUAGCUUACUUGAUUACUUACCCAAUACACAUUAAGAAACAAAUUCUAAAUAACAAAAUAAGUACUGAAAUUCUCCCCAAGCGUUUCAAUGUAUAAGAUUUUAAGGCUUGUUAAGAUAAAUAUUAAUUACAAUCAAAUUCCCAUCAAAAUAAUAAGAUAAUCAGCAUAAAUAAUAUCUUCAAUGUGACUAGGAUAAGUCUUCAAAUUUUCAGGAUAUGUUAUCAAGUUACUCGGCUCAGCUUCCUCAAAAUAUAAAAGUUAAUUUGCUUGAUCUAAUCCAAAUCAAUCUUUAAGAUAUAUUGCUAUGAAUAAUUUGAAUACCAAAUAUGGGCUAAAAACAUCCAAAGUAACAACUAAAAUAAAAGCACAAGAAUUUUUGUUGCCAAAAUUUGUUAAAUUAAACAUGAUAAUUUUUUUGAACAAGUAAUGUCUAAACUAAUUUACACUGUUCAAGGCAUUGCUCAAAAACUACCUCAACAAUCUCCACGUAUUAAACACCAAAUCCGAAUGCCCUCUUGAGAAACUCCCCUUUAAUCAAAAUGCACCGGGCCUGAGAAUGAACACUAAAAUACCGCAGACUCCCCCAUCUUUUAUUUGUAUUUUAAAAUAUAAAAAUCUUGGUCAAAGGUCAAACUUCCUUUUUGUGUGACCUUAAUUUAAUUUAAUUUAAUUUAGAAAUUUUUUUUCAAAGGCUUAAAAUCAUCUCAUCACCACACAUUCUCUAUUAAACUAUAAAAAAAUGUGUCAAAUGACAAAAAUGCUCAUGAUGGGCAGAAUGAUUUUCACCCCUUGGGUCCAAAACUAGAAAAAUGACUUAAAAAUGUGAUCACAUGACCUUCCUAGGAUUUAAAUCCUAAAAAUUUCAAAUAAAUCAAAUUUCUCAUAUAGCAUUUCACAUAGAUAAUCAAAGGAAUCUGGAAUGUUAGAGGAAAAAAUAUUAAAAGGAAAGAUUUGAUUAAUUCCUAGCUUUGUAUUCAUUGGGAGUUAUUAGAGUAAUGUACAGGGUAGUGAUUUGUUGCACAUGAAAGUCGUAAUGUAGCACAACUUUGCUUCUGGGUAGUGAAAGAAAACAUUUAGAGAAAAAAAAAAGAGUAAACUUAAGAUUGGCAAAAAAAAAAAUUAAGAUUGGCAAAAAAAAAAAAAUUUCUUUUGCAACGAGGAGGGAAAAUAUGAACAUGUUUUCAACAUGCACUUUGCCCCAUUAUUUGUAGUUAUGAUUUUUCUUUUUGGACAAAUUUGCCUAAUUAGUUAAUUGGUUGGCCAAGAGAGACCACCAACUCCACUUGUAGCCAUUUUUUUUUUAAUUCAACAAGGCUUAAUAUAAAUAUAGAUUACUAUAAAUAUCAAUCCAAUUUGUAAAAAUACAUUAUCCUAUGAAAUUAGGAGGAUUCGCUUUAAAAUUUUAAAAGAUUUAUAAUUUCCUAAUAAAUAAAAAAUAAUUAAUAACUCUUAUAAAGUAUUUUUUGAAAAAUAAUUUUUUAUAUAAAACUUUUAAGUUUUUUUUCACUAUUUAAAAUAUAAAAUAUUUUUUACAUUAUAAAAAUUAAAAUUAAUUAUAAAUUAAAUAAACAAUAGAAUUCCAUUCGGUUUGAUUAUUUUUAAAUUUAAAUUAGUUUUUAAUUUCUCAAUUAUUUUUUACUCAGCCUAAAAAUAUUAAAUAAAUAUGUACGAUAAUUAAAUUUUUAGAAAUUCAUAUCACAUUUUUUAUUUUUAAAUUUUGAACUUAAAUUCUUUUUCUAAGAGAAUAAGUAUUUUUUUAUAGAAUUUUUUUUGCUUUAUCAAGAAAUUAUUAAUGAUUAAGUACUUAUAGAAUUAAUUUCUUUACGUUGGAGUAUAAAUAUGGAGAAUAUAGCAGCCACGCAGGGAGCCAUGUCGCGAAUUUUCUCGACAUUACAUGCGUUGCAUGUCGUAUGGAUACCCAUCGAAUUAAUUAACAUAGACAAAAUCCAUAUCUUUUCAAAACUAAAAGGUCAGCAAUUCCAGCUAUAAACAAAUUAGGCUGCUUUUAAGCAAUCUCACUUAGGGCAGUUCUUUAUUCCAUUUGAGAUGGAUUUAUACAAGUAUUUUUUCUCUAAAAGCAGUAAAGAACAGCUAACAGUGGUAAACUUUUUUUUGACUUAAAUUAAGUACUUUUAGCUAGUUCUAGGAAAAAUUAGCUUUUUUCAGCCAAAAAGUAGUUUUGACUAUUAAUUUACCUUUUUAACCUUACGAUUUUUACAUGUUACAAGAUAUUUUUUUCACCUUUUCUCUUUUGUCUUCUUUUUUUUUUGAACUUUAUUUUUCCUCUGGUUUGUUCCUCUUCUCAGUACCAGUAAGUUUUAUCUUUUUUGCUUCCAUUCUUCUGUCUUUGAUUUUAUGAAAUAAUUAUGAAAUUUAAUAAAUAAUUAAUAUUAAUUACUUAGAAAUAUUUAAAAUUAAUAUUAUAGAUUAAAAUAUUAACAAUAAGUUAUAAUAAAUUAUUUUUUAUAUUUUUGCUAAAAUAUCAUAAUAUUAAUUAAUUUAAAUAUUAUUUAAAUACAUAUUUGUUACUUUAUAGUAUCAUGUCUAAAAUAAACAUUUUACUUUUCAAAAACACUUUUUGACAGCAAUACCAAACAAUUAAAUUUUUCAAAAAUACUUCUUAAAAGCACUUUUCAAAAAUAUUUUUCCACGGCACUUCUCAAAAGCAUUCGCAGCCCUUAAUAAAUUGAUAUAGACACACACAUAUCUGAUUGUAUAAAUCAAGUGCUUCCCUUCGAUCAGUCACUUGCGUAUCUAUCCAUAAACACGUAUCUGAUUGUAUUAUUUUGAAUGAAGAGCUUUUACUUUUUAUCAGCUUACGCUGAUAAAAACAUCAAAUUAUGUUUGGUUUAAUUAACUUUAGAACAAACUUUGCGGAUUUCACCCACAGUGCCUGUCUUCACUUCAAUGUUACUCAUCUUCACCAUGGACCUUCCAAAUUCAAUGUUAAAGGUCAAUCCAAGUAAGCCUCUAAUGCCCAAGAAUCGUUGGACAAAGGUCUUGGUAGAAGCAUCAGUCCAUAACCUUUGAUCAGAUUCCAGUAUUCCCUUCCCAUCUCUCAAGUUGGCAAAGAAAGAGUUAUCAAAUCUGUUAACGCUGCCUGUGUCCAAUCCAAUCCUCCUUGACCCAUCACCGUUCUGCGGACACAGCGCUUGAAGCUGGGAAACGAAUGCGGCGGUGAUAGAAGGGUCGGCUCCGUUUCCGGUCGUGGUGAAGUUGUAAAGCCUGUAUCUGAAGAAUUGGCAGGCUGUAGUACCGAUCGUGUGGCCUCCUGGAGUACAUAAAAUUAAUGCAUUGAAUUUCAUCAGUUACAGUGUGAAAUUUUUAAUUAAGGGUUAAAUUCGAAUGAAAUAGAAACCUAAAUGCUUACCAACAAGGGUGACAAGAUCUUGAGUAUUGAGACCCUUUGCUGCAAAUUUUUGCUUCUGCACAUCGACUGAGUCACGGAAGCCUGGCAAAUUGGCCGCAUCAGAAGCCUGUGAAACCGUUCCAUCUCGGCGGCCUGUCGGCACUGCCCAGCUGGCUCCACUGCUCUGCAUCAUACAUUAUUAACCAAUAAUUAAACUACGUAUAAUCCUUAUUAAUUCUUUCAUCCGAAACGAAGAUCAAAGGAACAUAUAGUUACCAGAACUACAGAAUCACGAGCAGCGAGGGCUAGGAUAUCAGCACACGAAACAACUCCAGGGCAUGCAGCUUCAAGCUGAGUCUUGGCAUCAUCAAUGACUUCGUAACCUCUCAACAAGAGGUUCGGUGGGGCGGUUUUCUCAGUGCCAGGUCCAUCAAUAAGGAUGGAAGCAUCGCAUCCAUGGACAAAGCAGUCGUGGAAAUGCAUACGGAGCAAACCAGGAGCAAUAGUGGGAUCAGACCCGAAAUGGGAUUGAACCGUCGACCUCACGAUGGACUCAACUCGAGGACAUGAAGUUGAGUAGAACCCAACCCUGGUGCCCUGGCUUUCCACCAAGCUGACAGCUAUGGCAAGCAAUAGGGUAACUAAAAGGACAUUUUGGCUGAAACAACUGACAUCCAUUGUUGUAAGAGACGAUAUACUUGUCUAAGAGCUUAUAAAAAACCUUGAUUAAGAUAAUGUCUGAGAGAUGAGGCUUUUGAUUCAGGAUUGACAAUUGAGUAGUACUUAUAUAGGCAAAAGAAAGUCAGCUAUACUUUUACAGCUACUGUGUAUACGAGAGAGAGAUUCAAAAUGGAUCAGCUAAGACUUUGGGUUUUGGGGUACAUGCCAAAUGUAAAGCCAAAAGAAGCUUACUUUCUCUCGCAUUAUCAACUUGCAUGCAUGUGAGUCCCAUAUCACUAUUUUUCCUACCUAGUGACAAAGUCGUCGAUCACGAAUGGGAUUUGAGUAGUGUUUAUCUAAUUUAUUUCCCUUUGACUUGGACUGCUUCGCAGAUAGGCAAGGAAUCAUUUAAAUGGUUAAUUAGUAAACACAAUACUUUGCAAGAGUAAGUGACCAAAGUUAUAUUAAUUAAAUGGUUAAAUGAUAACAUUUAAAAACUUUAAAGUGGAUUCCACUGUAUGGUGCUAAUUAGGUGUUGGUUUAUGAAUAGUUUCUUCGUCCAAGAAAGGAAUAGUUCCAUGAAUGGAUCAAAAUGAACUACUCGAAAGAGAGAUGAAAUGACAAACUACUCUCUUGCACCUUUUAUCAAUUAGCGUUCCAUCUUUUUAUCCUUCUUCUUUUUAUGAUUUUAGUUGAUUAAGUUAAAAUUAAUGUUAAAGUUCUACCCAAAUUUUUAUUAAAAUAAAAUAUAUGUAGUAAGAUGGGGAUUCAUGAGGGCGAAGGUCAAGGGCUGGAGAACUUGUCCAUUAAGAAUUCGGGUUAAGAUAGUACGGUACAGGCUGCACAAGAAGAAUCUGUAUAGAAGUUUACUUCAUCUAUUUGAUAUUGAUUUGAAUAAGGUGUUUUAACAUUAUUGUAUUAUUUCGAUUAGAUGUUGAUUAGAAUAAUAUUUUCUAAACCUAUAAAUAGAUGCACUCUAUACUCCUUAUAAUUAUUUGAAUUCGACAUAGUGAAAUUUUUUUCUCUACUUGUAAUUUUUUUCUAAAAAGGUUUCUACUUAAAAUCUAUAUGUUCUAUUUUUCUUUUCUUUUUUAUGAUAUAUUGUCAUUAUUGAUAUUUUAUUUUGUCAAAUAUGCCAUUAAAACAUUUCAAAUGUAAUUCACUUAUUGUAUACAAUUGUUUUGUAAGAUAUAGCGUUCAACAAUGUAUUUAAAAUAGUCAGCUUUUUUGUAAAUAAAUAAACUAUAUAUAAUUUUAGUUGUCUUCGGCUUUUAGCUAAUUAUAUGUUAAAGUGGGAUUAAGUAGAGUUGGUGAGACAUGAUAAAACCCAAGCGGCAAAACGCGUGACAGAAUGAUGAUGACGAAGUUUAAUUUGUCUUGGCCUUCUGAUUUACUUACUAAUAGGGUGGCAUUGACGUUGACGUUCCUCUUUUCGGCUGCCUCAAAGCUAUCUUUUUCCCAUUCUCCUUUCCUUUUUUUUUUUUUAAUAUCUUGAAAUGGUUUCUCUCGCUCGAACGCGUUUCAUGCACUACAUGGAAUCAACGUGUUCAUACUAUUAAGUGUUUUUUUUCUUUUUUAAUUAUUAUCAAAGAAACUAUGAUGGUGGAUUUCAACCUAAAAUAUAUUUACGUGAAUCAAAUAUUAAUUUAAUUAAAAAAUUAAAAUCUUUUGAGAUAAAUAAAUAUUAUUAUGAGGUAAUUUUCAUUCUUUAUACAAAAUUUAUAUCAAAAUAUUUUAAAAUUUAAUAUCUGGAGUUUCUUUUUGUAUAUCAUAUGGAUGAUUCAAUCUGCAAGGACCAUGAUUGAGAAUUGUUUAAUCGUCUUUCUUCGAGUGAGAGGUAAAAUAUAAUUAACUUGAACUCGGGACACCUAUUUGAAAUCUCAUAUUUGCUUUUUGUGAAAAAAUACCAAUCGAAGUGGAGAGUUUCUUCAAACAACAAGGAACUGGGGCAACUAUUCAAUCAAAUGAUAUUGAGCAUGUUUCCCAUCUCUUCUCGAGAGGCAAGUGGGCUAUUUCGUUACAAAAUUGUGCUCAAUUUCAUAUGUGGCAAUUCCGCCAAGAUCUCUUCGUUAGUUGGGGGAAGAAUCCACACGAAUCGGAUAUUUUGUGGAACACAUUGAGAGAGAAUUGGAUUUGGUUAGACAAUAUAUGGUUGGUAAACAGGGAUCGAUUUUUUAGCAAGUACGGAAUGUAUCGUCAAAUAUUCAAUAUGAUUCCACAAGAUUUAGUUUCAUUCAAGUAACGAAUUCUCACCAAUCUAAUCUGUUUCGUUAUUCUAAGUGGUUAUUCUAUUUUGGGGAAUGAAGAACUUCUUAUUCUUAACUCUUGGGUUCAAGAAUUCCUAUAUAAUUUAAGCAACACAAUAAAAGCUUUUUCUAUUCUUUUAUUAAUAGAUUUAUGUAUAGGAUUUCAUUCGCCCCCAGUUGGGAACUAAUGAUUGGCUCUAUCUAUAAAGAUUUUGGAUGUGCUUAUAAUGAUCUAAUUAUAUCUAGUCUUGUUCCUACCUUUACAGUCAUUCUAGAUACAAAUUUUAAAUAAUAGAUCUUUCGUUAUUUAAAUCGUGUAUAUCUGUCACUUGUAGUUAUUUAUCAUUCAAUGAAAGAAUGAAAAAGGAUUCACGGAUUCAAUUAUCAUCUUUCUUACUUUCUAGAUAAGCAAAGCAUGUAAAGUCGUACUUACUUUACUCUUUCUACCCAUCAGGAGAAUACAAUUUCUCCUCUAUUUCAGCCAUUUUUUUCAAUUUUUAGUAAAAGAAAAUAGCGGAAUCGUGGCUAAGGAACUAUACUUGUGACCUACCUAAUUUUAUUAUAGAAAUUUUUGGGAUCAAUGAUUGGACCAUGCAAACUAGAAAUACAAAGAAUUAAUAUUUAGAUUUAUAGAAAUACUUAAACUUAUAAAUAGAGGCAUGUUCACCUGUUAGAUAGAGGCAAAGUAGAUUUAAUUAUGAGUCGGGCCAUUCACUUAUGCCCAAAGGUCCGUCUGGAAAGUGGGAGGGUUUGGAAAAAAAUAUAGGUUUGGACAAAAAAUAAGGCCCAUUUUCUAAAUUGGUUGGGCUUCGGGUAAGAUUUUUUUUUUGUCCAACCCCACCCGAAUCUGCCUAAAGUUUUUUUCCUGCUGUUGUUUGCUAUUGUUUUGUUGCUGUUUUACUAUUAUGUUACUACUAUUUUGUUAUUAUUUGGAUAUUGUAUAACUCUUAUUUUAUUAUUAAUUUUUCUACUAUUUUAGAGGCAUCUGCUUUGCUAAGUUCCAACUGUUAUUUAAGUAUAAAGACUUUUUUAAUGUAUUUUCAAUUUUUGGGGAAACAUUUAUUUUAAUGUUUUUAGUAUACUUGAUAUAUUAUAUUUAUUAAAUUUGUUUUUAUAUAAAAAAUAAUAUAAAAAAAUUUAAUACGACCGGGUCGGGUUUAACAUUUUUAUCUGGGUCGAGCUUGAACAAAAAUUUAGGCCCAUUUUUUUUGGCUCAAGUCCAAAAACAAGCCUAAAUUUCUGCAUCAGCUUGGCACUGUCUGGUCCAUGAUCAAGUCUAAGUCGAAGCCAAAAAAAUUUUUUUGGAAGGGCCGAAAUUAAAUUUUAUAUUCUUAUGAUAGUAAAAAAGCAAUUUUACCAUUUUAAUAGCCUAUAUCUUUAUAAUUUGUAAAGGAUUAAAUCAAAUUUUUAUCAUUUUGCAAGGCUAAACUGUAAUUUUACCAUUAUUAAUUUAAAAUUUUAUAAAUUAUAAAUAGACCUAAACACACAAAAAUUCAUUUUAGGGGGGCCCUACCAACCCCUAGCACUGCCACUGGUUAUAGAUAUUGGGAGCGGGUUAAACUAUUUGAUAAGUCUUACCAUAAUAGACUUGUUUAAAGGUUGUGUUAUUCGUCUAAACUCAAAGAGUUUAGUUCAAUAUUUGAAAAAGUUGGACACAAAUAUUAGUCCCACAAAUGAGCUUCGACAAGAAAACUAGGCAUGUUGCAAAUAUAGAUCGGGUUUGGACUCCAACAUCCAUAGCCCGAGCUUUUCUCAAACCGUUUUUAAUAUUGUCAUAUGUUGUUUUAUUUUUAUAUAUUAUGUAAUAUAUAUCACAUAAAAUUAAAUCUAUAAUAUCAUAAAAUACUAUAAUGUAAGCAUAAAAAAUAUGUUAAGUUAUUGAUUACUAAAAUAAAAGAAAAACAUAUACAAAUAUUACAUAUUAAAUUAAAAAUAAUAUAAAUUAUUUUUAUAUGUCAGACCUAAAACAAACUUAGAUUAAUUAUUUAUUAAUAUGGAUGACUUUAAUCAAAAUCUAAGAUCCAUAUUUUAAGUCAAAUUAAGCUUGAACAAUCAUAUUAAUUAAAUACAUAUAACUUAUAAUAGGUUGAAAUUGUUAAAUUAAUUUUAUUUUUAAAAAUUAUAUUUUUUUAAAAAAAUAAAAUAUUCAAAUUAUCAUAUUUUACUUUUAUCAAAUAAUAUAAUUAUAUUUUUAAUUAAUCUUUACUAUUUUAUAAAAAAAUUGAAAAAAAAAGUUUUUUUAUAUGAAAAAAAAGUGUACAAAAGAAAUAACAUGUAUACUUUUGUAUAUAGUGUUUUUCUUUUGACCUGAAAAUGUGAGUGACUUAAAUAGUAUAUCGUUUCUUGAGAAAAAGUAUUUCAUUGAAAAAAUGAUUUUUUUUACAAGUUAGGCUAAUGUAAUCUAUAUUAACAAUGCUAUCAAGAAAUCCUAACUCGAGUUGGUGACAACUUUAAUUAAUUUAUUCUUAACCACAGACAUAGAAUCUUAUAUAAAAUUUAAUAAUGGAUCGAUGAUAAUUCAUACAAUGCAUCGAGAGUUGUGUAAGGUAAUUUUGGAGGUUUAAGAAGAGUAUAGAAAUUUUCUUUUUUUUGGGUCUAAAUAGCAUACAGAAUUUAUAUGCUCUGAUAUGUGUAAACGGGCCAAUUUGCCCGGCCGUUAUAAACAAAAAAAUAAAUAUAAAAUCCAAACCGUAUAACAGUCCAAAUUCCAAAAUUAUUACAAUGACCCAUAGCCCAUUUACAAAUAAACCCAGACCCAAAGUUACAAGGCCCAAAUGGCCCAAAAGACUUUAGAAACAAAACCCUAGGGUUUCUCUCCCUUGCACUGUAGCCUUCAGCCGCCGUACAGCCCCAACGCCGCUCGUGCCUCCACGUCAAUAGGCCGUACGCCACCCUCACGCCUAGUGCCAGCACAUGCUCCGUACCUGCAAAAGAAAACAAGAAAACAGCAGCGGAGUAGCAGCCAAUAGGAGAACAAAAAUUGUUGUUUUUUCUUUUGAUUAUUCGGCUAUAAAGCCUUUUAUUUUUCGAUUGUAAUGGCCCUUUUUUACGCACACGGAGUGAAUAGAGAAAAAAGCAGAAAUCACAAAUCAAAAGGUGAUUUUCAAGUUUUAUCCUUUUGUCUUUCUUCUCAUUUUCUUGUUAUUUUAGCAUAAAAGAAAGAAACAUUUGAAACGACACCAAUGAAGUCCCGAAUAUCUCAGAAAUAUUGAGAUACGGACGACGGUCGGAUGGUAUUAAGUUUUUUUUUACAUUCGGUUUCAUCCUUCUUAAAUGAACAGUAUUAGAUUUAGGUUUUUUUUUUAAAGAAAAGAGAAAGAAAAAAAUAAAAUAGCAUACCUGGUUUCCUCGCAUGGUACCGUCGUCGGUGGAAUCUGGUCGCUGCUAGUGCAUUGUAGGCCACCGAAUGAAAUGGUGGAUCGGCGGUCGCUGGAAUGAGCCUUAACAAAUCAAUUUAGGGGCUGUAAAUUAGGGUUAAAAUGUUGGCUGCUUUUGGAAAAAGGAAAUAUAAAAGGGUUUUAAAUAACCUAUUAAUGAAAACGGCGCCGUUUGUAACAAUGAGGGUCCGCGCGUCAACCCGGAUAGCAGGUCGGAUCCGCGCCUUUUCAUUCGAAAUGGGGAAUUUGCGCGUUGAGUCCUUCCAUCUGCGCGAGCCUUCAAAUUGCGCCUUAUUCGUUUUGCCUUGUUUUUUUUUAAAUUAGCUCGUUAAUUUGUGCGCGUUUGCAUACUAGUCCGUGGUACAGCGCAACUUUUUGGGGCCUGGAUUAUUUCUAGUUUGAGUCCCUAUACAUUUGCGCGCAUUACCUAUUGGUCCCUUUUAUUAUUAUUGUUUUAUUUUCAGAUUAUCCCUUUUGUUUUAGUUUAAUUCUAAUUAAGUUUUUUUAUUUUAUUCCCCUUUUUAUUCUUAAUUACUUAUUCAUACAAUCAUUUUGAAGAUUUUUUUAUUAGAUUAUUUUAAUAUUUUGUACAAUAUUUUUAUUUCUAUAUAUAUAUAUUUGUACAUGCAUGACUUUAUUUUAUAAAAUCAUCAUUUUAAAUUUCUUUUUGCAUUAAGCUAUUCUAAUACUCUUAUAUAACCUCUUGUUCAAAUAUUAAUAUAUAUAUUAAUACACCUAUUAUUUUAAUAGAUUUUUUUAUUUUAAAAUACUUCUUGCUUUAUGAUUCGCUAAGUAUUUUUCUUUAUGUAUAUAUGAAACUAUUUUAGGAACUUCAUCUUUGUAAUUAUAAAGUUAUUAUUUUGAAAUGUUUCUUUAUAUUAUAUUAUUUUUAUGUUUUAUAUAGUAUCUCAUUUAAAUAUUUUUAUAUAAUGGUAUGUAUAUAAUUUAUAGGUUAACCUUUUAUAUAUAUAUAUUAUUAAUCUCAUGCUAUUUUUACAAGUAAUUUAUUUAUAUAUGCAUGUUUUGUAAAUCUAUUAUGUGUAUUAUAUCUUAUCAUGUAUUUUUAUUAUUCUUUCAUAUUAUAUAUUAUUUAAGUUAUCAUGUACCUUGUCAAUUUUUAAAUGAAUUUCUGUUUAAAAUAUUUUGCAUAUGAUUUGAUUCAAACUUUAUUUCUAUAAUAUCUAUUUCAAUAAAUAUAUAUCCCUAGUUUUUAUGCAAAUUUGUCAACUUAUAUAUUACGUGUUCAUUUAUUUGUCAUUAUUUUAAAAUCGUUUUAUAGCACAUUAGCUUCUAAUUGCCAUUUUGUUUUGUUUUUUUUUUUUUACAUCUUGCAUUGAUUGUUUUAUAUCAUGCUAUGUAUAUUAUUGUGGCAUAUUAUUGUGUGCAUUGUUUUGUUGUGUUGUAUUGUUAUAUUAUUAUUUUCAUCAUUGUAUUAUUAUAUCAAUUAUUUCCCAUGCAUGAUCGUAAUCGGGUUAUAUUUUUUAGGUUAGUUAUGCUUAAUUGUUUACUUCGUUAGUUGAAUAAAUAAGACACAUUAUCCUCAUUCAUCAAGUAUUGUAUUUUAUGUGUGUAUAUUAUCCCAUAUCAUUGUUUUUCACUUGGUUUACGAAAUGUAGCUUUAUAAGAUCCAAAUCUUUAAGAUUAAUUUCGUUUUAUUUCAAGUCGCAUUAACACGUUUUGAGCUAUUUUUAUAAUUAUUCAUUUAAAAAUUCUUUAAAACGAAGGCAAUGCUCGAUGUUUGGCAAUUCAAAAAUCAUGCCCUAUCGUGUUGGGUUGCGAUUUCCCGUUUGUUCAAAACAAUCGAAUAUUCCUUUGGAAUUUCACUCAUGUCUUUAAAAAUUCUUCAAAACGAAGGUAAUGUUCGAUGUUUGGCAAUUCGAGGAAUAGUGCCCUAUCGUGCUGGGUUGCAAUUUCCCGUCUAUUCAAAAUAAUCGAAUAUCCCUUUAGAAUUUCACUCACGUUUUCUAAAUUCUAAAACAAGGCAAUGUUCAAUGUCUAGAAAUUCGAGGAAUCGUGCCUUCCUGUGCUGGGUUUCGGUUUUUUUGUUGGACUAAAUGAUUAGGCAUCCUUUUAUGAUUUUCAACAUAUAAACUUUUGGAAGUCGAAAUUUAUCGAGUUUUCGAGGGUAUAAAGGAUCGUGUCCUAUCGUGCUAGACGUGAUGCUGUAUUCCUCUGAAACAAGAGAAUUUUGACGACCAACUUGGGUUAUUCAAAUGUUUAUAAAAGGAAUCACAUUUCGAAAAACAUUUUUUUAAAUCUCAGACAUAAGGACAGUAUUUAAUCAAUUUGGUACCAAUUUUGGGCGUAAUGAGGGUGCUAAUCCUUCCUCAUACGUAACCGGCUCCCGAACCUGUUUUCUCAAAUUUACGUAGGCCAAAAUCGUUGUUUUAGUAAGCCAAAAUGUUUUAUUAAAAUGACCAAACUUUUUUGUGAUCCAAUCACACCUAAACAAAAAAGAUUGGUGGCGACUCCGCACUUUGUUUUAAAAAGUCGAUCCCCAUUUCGCUUUUAAAUUUAAAAAUGGUUUCGACAAUAUGGAUAGCUUAAAAUAGGUGUAUUGCUAAGAAGAAUAGGUACUUUAUUCAUGGUGUCUUCCAAAAAUAUAUUUAGAUGUGAUAGGGAGAUUCGAUGUACACACAUGCUAAGCUUAUAGGGAAGAUGUGUUGAUAAAGAGUGUAAUUUAGAUUAAGGGUGAGUAUUCGAUUAAGUCGAGUAGAAUUGAGUUAAAAAAUUUCGAGUUAGUCGAGUUGACGAAUUCUAAUUUAGUAAUUGAACUCAAUUUGAAUUUUUUUUAAUCGAGCUGAAUCGAGUAAAAAAAUUUCAAGUUGAGUCAAGUUAACGAAUCUUAUUAUUUAUGUUAAAUGUUGCAUUUACAUGGAUCGACUAUUUAACUAGUAGACGAAGUACAAGCUUUUAGAUUAAUUUUGAGUAAAGGAAAAAGGGAAAGUGGGGCGAUUCGGGAAGGUAAGUAAGACUAUCGGGUAAACUUUUAUUAAAACAAUGUAGUUUUGCCUUUUAACUUGAUAGUUUUGACUUUUUACUUUAAAUCAGGUAAACAUUUAUUAAAACGAUGUAAUUUUGCUUUUUCUAAUUUGGAUUUUCGAAUAACUCAAAUUAAGUGUGAGUGUUUUGGUCGAAUCGAGUGAAAUUGUUCGAGUUAAAUUAGAAAAAUUAAUAAUCAUGUCAACUUAAAAUCUUGUUACAAUAUAACUAUUUCUAUGUUAGAGCACAUAAAUUUGAAAACAUAUAUAUUUGAAAACUUUUUUAAAGCAUAAUAAUAAUAAGAUGUUUUAGUAUGAUAAACUUAAAAUCAUUAAUCACUUUAGAUUCCAAAAUUAUUAUUUUAUAAAAUUUUAAAAUUUCAACUUUUUUUAUAUACUUUUAGAUUUUAAAAAAAUAUAAUUUUUUAAAAAUACAAAUUUUUGAAUUUUUAUAAAUAUUGUUAAUUUUAAAAAUUAUUUUGAAGAUUUAAAAAAUAUUUUAUUUUUUUGUAAUUUUUGUUAAGAGAGAGACCAAUUUGCUCAUUUUCAAAAUUGAUAGGGACCAAAAGGGUAUUUAUACUAAUCUAUUAUUCAAAUUGUAAAAAUUCAACUCGACUCGAACUCGAAAUCUGAAAUUUCUUAUUCAAGUUGACUCGAAUAAUUUGAAUAACUCGAAUAAUUCAAUUUGAUUAACUCGAAUUUUAAUUUUUUAAUAUUUUCGAAUUGAAUCGAAUUUCACUCACCCCUUAACUUAGACAAGGUGAUCAUGCAAUGUAUGGUGAAGUGAUUCAUUUGUACAAGGUAACCUCUUGACUAUAAGUAGGGCGAGCUUAUCCUCUUCUAUCAUAACAUAGCAAAAUUACAAUUGUUGAAACUAUAGCUAAAAACUAAAACCGUUUUAAUUUUUUACACAUUAUAAAAAAUUACUCAUAACCUUUCUUCAACAUUUUAAAAUAUACAAUACCAUAAUUUAUUUUUUAACAUCGAAGACAGCAUAUAAAAUUUGGUGAAUUUUUUUUGCCCAUUCAUAUUAAUUUUUUAUAUAAAAAUAAUAAUACAUCAAAAACAUUAAAAAAAUAAAACAAGAGUUAUACAAUAUUUAAACAAUAAUAACAAAAUAAUAGUAACAUAAUAGUGAAAUAACAACAAAAUAAUGAAAAAAUAAUAAAACACUGACAAAACAUGAGUAAAAACAAUAACUAAACAAUAUAUAUUUUUUCUUUUUUUUGCAAAUUCAAAUCAAGCCAAAUCUAAACUAAAAAACUUUCCUUGAGGUCUGUUAAUUUUUUAAAUGAACUUUAAUAUUUUUGCUUAAAACCAUUCUUUGAAUUUAUAUUUAUAUUUUUCCUAAAACCAUUCUUUGAAUUUAUAUAUUUCUAAGAAUAAGGUGGUAUUUACUACUGUUGAUGCUACACGGAAAUGAAGCUAAGGAGUAGAAAAGUAAAGCAGGUUUUUUCAUGUCUUUCAACAAAGGGAUUUGCAUGGAAUCCAAUGCACGCGUUAACGAAAUUUCACAUUUUGGGUUAUUUUAUGUUCUAAAUUCGGAAAACACUGUAUAUAUUAAACAGAGAAUCACGAACAGUUUUAAUCAUUAUUUACUACAAAAAUUAAUUAAUUACUUUAUUUAUCCCAUUAAAACAAACACUUGCGCAAUUUAAUAAUAUUACAAUCAUUCCUUUUCCAUAGAUUACACAGACUUUUAGAUAUAGUGGCCUUUUAGGGUCCUCAUUAUUUUUAUUUUUUAUUGAAUCAUACAAUAAAUAGAUGACAUCUACAUGAAUAUAUAUAAUUUAUAUUGGAUGUUAUUUGAUAUAGUGAUAAUGUAUAAAUUUUUUAUAUUAUUCAUAAAGUCAUUUAGAUUUAAUUUUAAAUCUUAAAUUAAUAGAGUUAUAGUUUGCUACCCAAUUUAAUGUGACAAAUUUGGCGUAGAUGAGUUGUUAAUUAUUUGAUAAGAUUUCUUGAAAAUAUAUAAAAAUUAGUUGGUAAGAUAAUGUCUUGUCUUAUUCGAUGGAUUUAAGAAUUAUAUAAAAUUAACGAGUCUUAAAUCUUAAUCAAGUGAAAAUCUUAAUACAUUGCAAGCCUGCAGUUAGCUGUCACCUUCAAAUUAGCCAGUUGGCAAGUUCAAUUGAGUCGUACAUAUCUAAUUACAUAUACAUUUUUUUUAACAUACAUAAAAUAAAAAUAAUAAUUUUAUAUCUGUGUUAUUAAAUAGAUGAUGUUUGAAAAAAUUACUAGGUCUUCACGUGAAGCUGAAAGACAGCUCGCCAUUGCAAUUUGCUUUUCGUUUCGACUAUGCUUAAGCAGAAGCAGGCAAGCAGCUACAUGCUAAUUGUCUACCAACUCAUCAUUCCUCCAUUAUUGUUAUUUUGAAUUAGCCCAUUUUUCCCUUUUCUUAUAGCCGGCUUUCUUUACUUUUUCUCUAUGUUGACUAAAUUUUUGGCUUAUAAAUAAACCCCCACCUCUGCUCUGCUCUCCCAUCCCACAAACUCACAAUCAAUUACAUCCACUGGACACACACACCAUAUCUUUCUCUUAGCUCUUUAUCCUUAAUUAUAAUCCCAGUCUACUAACUACGAUAAUGAAGGGUGCUUACACCAACCCACGUUUCUUCCUUGCAAUGACUUUCAUGCUUGCCAUGGCUGCUGCAUUGGUGCAAGCUCAGGGAACUCGAGUUGGGUUCUAUGCAAGAACAUGCCCUCGAGCUGAAUCCAUUGUUAGGUCAACAGUUCAGUCCCAUUUCCGUUCUAAUCCUAACAUUGCACCUGGCUUGCUGAGGAUGCACUUCCAUGACUGCUUUGUUCAGGGAUGUGACGCCUCCAUCCUCAUUGAUGGCCCUAAUACGGAGAAAACUGCCCCUCCAAACAGAUUGUUGAGAGGGUAUGAAGUUAUUGACGAUGCCAAAACUCAGCUCGAAGCUUCAUGUCCUGGUGUCGUCUCAUGCGCUGAUAUUCUAACCCUUGCAGCUCGUGACUCCGUCUUUCUGGUAAACAUUACUACGUUUUCUUAAUCAUAUACUACUAAAAGCUCUGUCAAUGAAUGGCUGAUUAUGUAUUUCUUGCAUAUAUGAAAUGCAGACGAGAGGAAUAAACUGGGCGGUUCCUACUGGACGCAGAGAUGGGAGGGUUUCAUUGGCAUCGGAUACCACCAUUUUGCCUGGAUUUAGAGAGUCCAUUGAUUCUCAAAAGCAAAAGUUCGCCGCCUUUGGUCUCAACACUCAAGACCUUGUUGCUCUCGUUGGUAAGUAAUUUUGCUUCAAUAAUGUUCCAAAGCUUUUAUCUGAUUAAAAUCGAGUCUGGUUGACUUAACAUUUGUUCCUUGUUGUUGCAGGAGGACACACCAUAGGGACUUCAGCUUGCCAGCUUUUUAGCUACAGAUUAUACAACUUCACCAACGGUGGUCCAGACCCCACAAUCAACUCAGCAUUCGUGCCUCAACUGCAAGCACUUUGCCCACAAAACGGUGACGGCUCAAGGCGCAUUGAUUUGGACACUGGUAGUGGAAACAGGUUCGACACCUCCUUCUUCGCCAACUUGAGGAAUGGUCGGGGAAUACUAGAGUCCGAUCAAAAAUUGUGGACUGAUCCCUCCACCAGGACUUUUGUGCAGCGCUUCUUGGGUGAGAGAGGCUCGCGGCCUUUGAACUUUAACGUGGAAUUUGCAAGGUCCAUGGUGAAGAUGAGCAACAUUGGUGUGAAGACGGGCACUAACGGCGAAAUUCGAAGAAUUUGCUCUGCCAUUAACUAAUUUAACUGCAGUUUUAUGCAGUUAAUCGUGGGGGUGAUGGUUAUUUUCUCAAUUAGCGUAAGCUGAUGAAAAAAUCUAAAAAAUAUUUUAAGCAAUUUAAAAAAAAAAUAGUACACAUGAUUUUUUCCCUAUGUAUUUAUGCAAUGUUAGUAUUCUUGUUAAUUGUAUCAUUAUAUUUUUCAAUGGAUUUAAUAUUUGAAUUUUUUGUAAUAUCUUACUUACACUUUAAGAUUUUAGCUUUUAGUUAUAAUAGUUGCUCCAUUAGUUAUCCAUUUGUGGUUUGACUUAUUUCACAAUAAUUGCUUAAUAAUCAUUUCGCCCUUCAUUAUUGAUAGAGUCGUGAUAACAUAUUUCUACAUACGUUGAUUAUUACGAGGAAAUAACAACAAGGCUUUAUUAACCAUAUAUACUAGUUUCAAAAUCUAUUUUGCAAAUUAGUUGGGUAUAGAAAUUAUUUAGGGAUAUAGUUGAAGUCAGCACCCUGAGGGGCCGACUUUAGUAUUCUUAUUAGGGUAAGGCAACCAAUCAAUGUUAGGGUUAGACUAUGGCAACCUAUCAAAUGUUAGGGCUCACAUGAAGGCAACCAAUUAAUUCAGGGUUCACAUAAGAUUGAAGUAAUAUAGUUUUGCUGUACAUGCAUGCAUACUUGGGAUGAUGGGAGCCUAGCAUGAUGGAACUAGAGGCUUCUGAUUGAGCAGAUGGGAGAUUGAGAUGAUAAAAUAAGUCUCUAGAUGAGUUGAUGGAAGCCUGAUGAUAGAAAAAGGCACUGAACGCUUUUGGUUGAGUAGAUGAAAGAUUGAGACAAUAUAACAAGUUUCUGGAUGAGUUGAUGGAAACUUGAUGAUGGAACAAGGCUUGCGGUUUAGUAAAGAGUUAAUUGAAAUAAUAAUGAUUAAUUGAAAUAAUAAUGACAAAGUUGUCGGGGUUGAAGAUUAUAUAUAAACAUCGUCACAGCAGUUCAAGGGGAGAACUAAGUUUUUUCAACUUCUUUCCUUGAGCAUUGUUAUCUUCUUCUUGGUAUUAUCUUUUAAAUAAUUUGCAAUCUUUAUCUACCUUCUAUAAUCUACAAAAUGAGUAACAUGUUUUGUGAUGUGGUGAACAAUAAUGGUUGGAUUUGAGAUAUGAAUAUCGAUGUAAUCUUCAAGCAUGAAAGUCUGAUUAACAUGAUGUUUAGAAAGGAUAUCAAGUUAGUGGAUAUGAGAUGCAAAAUUGGUCAAAAAAUUGGAGCUCCAAUAGGCUUGUUGAGGUAUAAAUUUAUUACUUGUGACAAUUUAGUGAGAUAUUUUGCAAUUAAUCAUGUAGCAUAUGAUGAUGAUCUAGAAACAAUUAUUGCACUUCAUGAGUCUAAUGGUAUUGAAAGAGUGGAGUUGUAAGUUGAGCUUGACAGCAUUGAAAAAGAAUAUGGGGGUUGAUAUUUGAAGCUCGCCUAAGAGCCCUUUAAUGGAUUCACAAAUUGGAACACCGGACUCGAUAUGCAAGUUGAUUAAUAGUUCCAUAUCGUUGUUGGAAACUCCUUAUAUCUCUGAUGAAUACACUUAGAUGGGAAUGCAAUCAUGAUAUUUUGCGUCAUAGUGUCCACAUAAAACUAAGCUUUAUAAUUUAGUCCUUUUUAAAACUAAGCUUAAUUUCUAUCAAUUUAACAUCUAAAACUUUCAAUUUUCAACAAUGGCAUCUCAUUGAAACUUUAAUAAUUGCUCAAAUUAAUCCUUGGGUUAGCUUAAUCAGGUUUUCAAUAUAAAAAAAUCUAUAAAAAUAACUAGGGACUAACUUGAAUAAAGGACCAAAAGAGUCUAAAAACCCAAAAAUGGCGUAAAGUCGUUUCUUUUGUUCUUGUGGCCGGUUGGAAGAGAUGAAGUUAUCUCUCUUUCCACCAAUUUUUUUUAUUUUAUACAUAGGUUAAGUUGUAAUUAAAAAAUAAGUUGUGUUAAUUAAAAAAUAAAUCGUGUUUUAUGUUAAUUAAAUCAAAUUUACUUAGUUAAUCAAUUAUUAACACUACCGUCCAUGAGUUUAUAUUUAAACAUGGUUUAAUUGUUGUUUUGAAUUUUUGGUUAAUUGCAAUUUAAGUCCCCAAGCAAUUUUCUAAUUAAAAAUCUAUAGUGAUUGGACUUUACAAUUUAGUCUCUAAACCUUAAUUAAUCACAAUUUUAACUAAAUUGACUACCCAAAUUUCAAUUCACCUAUAUAAUAAUUUCGAAAAUAUCUUUAUUUAAUAUUUACAAACUCAGUUUACAGAAAUAGAGUUCCAAAAUCAUUGUUUCUGACAUCACUAAAAAUCAGGUCGUUACAAAAUGUCAACUACUUGCUUUUUUGUAUUACAAUAUUGCAACUUGAUCACCCAUUUGCUACAAGUUCACGAAUAAAGUGAACUUGAAUCUCAAUAUGCUAUAUUCUUCCAUGAUAUGCUAGAUUUUUGGACAUAACAAUUUACGCUUUGUUGUCGCAAUAAAUAUCAAUUGCUCCAUUUUAUUAUUGACCAAGAUCAACUAAAUUCUUCUCAACCAUAUUCCUUGACAUGCUAAUGUUGUUGCUUCUGCAUACUAAGCUUAUAAUGAAGACAAGGCUAUUGUAGCUUGUUUAAACUCCAGAAAAUAGUCAAUCUAAGAUUGAAUAUGUAACUUAAAGUGUUUCUUCUAUCUUCCAAACACCUAGUCAAAUAAUUGUUCUGAACCCAUCUAGCUUGAAAUUUGGAACUUUUUCAUACCAUAACCCAAAAUCAAUUGUUUCAGCCCUAUAGAGCAAAACUCGUUUUGCUGCCCCCAAGAUGAUGCUUUGAAGGCUCGUGUAUAAAUCUUGAAAUUACCCUAACUAGAAAGGUUAUGUCAGGCCUUGUUUGAGUCGAAUAGAUCAAGCUAUCAACCAUGGUUCUAAAGUGACUUAUAUUAGCUUUUUUAGUCCCAUCAUCUAUCUACAACUUCUUGUUCAAGUUCAUUGGGGUCGUUGCAAUUUUGCAAUUUAAUAUGUUGAAUAUUUUAAGUAAAUCAGUUGUAUAUUUCCCUUGUUACACAAAAAUUUCAUCUUUAACUUGCUUCACUUUUAACCCAAGAAAAAAAUGCAACAGACCCAAGUCUGACAUCUCAAACUUUCUUUCCUUACACAAUUUAAACUCAUUAAUGAGAGAAAUCCAUGUAAAGAGUAUGUUCAUUCUUACUUUUCUCGAAGCCAUUAAAAAGAAAGUAUAAGUUUAUUUUGUUGUACUCCGCCCAUGAAGCUUUCUUUAAGCUAUAAAAAGAAGGUAUGGGUAGGUUUGUUCUUACUUGUUCUUUUUUCCCACAAACAACAAAACCUUCCAACUGAGAAACAUACACUUCCUCUUCGAGUUCUUGAUUUAAAAAUGCUGACUUCACAUAAAAUUAGUAAAUGGGCCAAUUUAAUUGAGCGAGUAAUGCAAUUAGAAAUUUUAUUGUUUCAAACCGAGCAACGGGAGAAAAUGUGUCAUCAUAACCUAAACCUUGUUGUUGUGAAUAACGUUUCACCACUGAUCUAUCGUAAUUUAAUAUGUCAAAUUAGCCUCCCUAGUACAGUUAACGAGCUUGCUUUUGAGAAAUUUAUAUAUAUUCUUUAUGUUUUUACUUAAUUUUUGUUCUUAGCUUUAAUAAGUGAAUUAGUAUGUUUUCGAUUACUUUUGAGACCCGAAAUGGCUAAAUACGUCAUCGAGGACCUAAUAAUUGAUUGAGUGUUGUAGGCAGUCAUUAGAGGCUCGAACAUGAGCAAAAACAUCACCUAGAAGAGGGUAUUGCGCUAUCGAAACUUGGAAGUCGUGAUACCCCUAACACCGCUAAAUUGAAGAGGAUCAAGGCCAUUCCUAGUGGUAUCGAGAUACCAGCUAUAGGAAUCAUGAUAUCAAACUCUCAAGGAAUCCUUUAAGUCAAGACUGAUGUGGUUAUCGUGAUACAUGACCAUGGGUAUCGCGAUACCCCUGACGAGAAUAGACAAAAAUGACAAGAAAAAUGACAGCAGGGGUAAACUUGUCCAACUUCAACACCAAUAAAAAACACACAUUGAGGGGUACUUUGGGCAUAAGAAGUAGGGUCAAAAAAUAGCUAAAAGAAGCCAAAAUUGGCUGAGAGACAUACAUUAGAUAUAAGCCGUAGUUUAGUUUAGUUUUCUUAUGUUUUCUCUUUCUCUUUUAGGGUUUUAGUUUUAUCUUCUCUUAUCCAUAGCUUAGGUUUUAUUUUUCUUGCACAUUUUCUUUUCUUUUCUUAGUUUCAUAGUUGGUAGUUAAGUUAGUUUUAAUUGUAGCUAGAGUUUAUUUGUUUAGUUAAACCUUCAACCUCUUUUGUUUACAUUUUAAUCGCAUGUUAAUUUUAUUCAGUAUUCUUUAGUUUCCUUGGUUAAAAAUCAUUUCUUUGGUGUUUUUGUUUAUUGUUCUUGCCUCCAUUGUUAUGCUAGUCAAGUUUUUGCAAGAAAGCUUGGGUUUUUAUUUAUUUACUUAGGGUUUAAGUUAAUGAUACUUUCAUUUAAUUUCUUGUUGUCAUUGGGUUUGAAUAUGAACAUGAGUAGCUAAAUCAUAGGUGGUUGGUUGAUGGAAAUACGGGGAAUGUGAUUUUCGGGUGAAAGGACUAAAUCAAAUAGACUUUAAAAAUUAUAAUUGAUGCCCUAAGGGAAAUUAAGAUAAGUGAGACCGAGAGGAGAUCUUACUGGGUGUAACACCCCAUACUCGUAUCCUACGCCGGGAUGGAGUACGAGGCAUUACCUAACUUAAACUCGUGCUUACGACCAAAUUCUGAGUCUCCAAGACUUGGACAAAUUUAAAACUUUCUCAAGCUUAUCAACACGUCCUUAAUAUAGGCCUACGAGGCCCAAAACACACAUCAAAAAUCAUUUGGAACCAAAUCGGGUUCUUUAGUCAACUUUAGAUAAAUGAUACUUGACACAAGGGCACAUGCCCGUGUGGGAGGGGCAACACGCCCGUGUGACCAAUUUGACAUGGUCGUGCCGUUAGCCCGUGUGGCUUAUACGGCCUAGGCAAUACAGGGACACACCCGUGUCCGACACCCGUGCGAAAUUAAUUCCUAAUUUAUACCUACAAGGGGUUUUCAUACGGUCUGGCACACGCCCGUGUCCCUGGUUCGUGUCCUUCACACGGCCAUGACACGCCCUUGUCCUAACCCAUGUGCAAAAAUCUAGACAUUAUGUUUCUGACGUCAGCAUUUCUUAAGGGUCACACGGCCAAGGCACACGCCCGUGUGUUAGGCCGUGUCCUUCACAUAGCUGAAACACACGGCCGUGUCUCUACCCGUGCGUUUACUACAAUGCAUAUCGACUUGAAAAUUUUACGUGCAGGGGACACACGGCCGAACCACACGCUCAAAGGGCAGACCGUGUGUCACACACGGCCUAGACACAUGCCCGUGUGUCUACCCAUGUGGACAAUAUAAGACUAUUUACCAAGCCUAUUUACCACCCUUACUUACACAACCUACAUAAUAGCAACCAUACCAGUAUAAGAAUAAUUUAUUUAAACCAAUCAGCCACAAUAGACUACAUAUCAAUUAAGCAAUUACUCAUUCAUGAGAGUAACUUCAUUUGCAUAUAUCAAAAUGAAUAUUUGCCAUCAUUCCAGACUUAAUACAAAAUGAAGGGUUUCCAACCCAAGCCAACACAUUUGGCCCGUUCUUAAUGACACAAAAAUAGUAAAGUCUAAGCCCUAUACAUGCCAUAUUCAAAAAUAUAAAUCAAACUAUACCGAAUGCUUCGAUUAAUAGUGUGAUCGAUAUCUCUGACUUCCUUUGGUCCUUGAGCUAAAUAGACGGCACUAUAAGAAAAUGAAAAAGGAGAGGAAGUAAGCACAAAGCUUAGUAAGUUGCAUAUAAAUAAAUAUACAACAUAACUUUCUCAUUCAUCAACAAGUAUCACAAUACACAAGUGGCAUAAGCAAAACUUAGUCAUCAAUAUUCAAAACACUUCAUAUAGCAUAUAUUGAGCUCACAUUUCAUACAUACCAUAUAGGUACCUGUACCACUCACAACUAGGUUAUACUUUCCUUAUUAACUUGAAAUCAUACUUUCACCGUUGAACCAUUUGGAACAUUAUCGGAUACUCAUUUAGCAUCAAACAUGGGGCCAAGUGCUGAUGCCAUGUCCCAGAUACGGUCUUAUACAAGUUCUAGCAUAUCUGUGCCGAUGCCAUAUCCCAGACAUAGUCUUACACUGGUACAUCUCGUAGUCGAUGCAUGUCCCAAACAUGUCUUACACUAGCACUCGUCUCAAUGCCGAUGCCAUGUCCCAAACAUGGUAUUACACUGGCUCUCAUAAUGUGGCUGAUGCAUGUACCCAAACGUCAUGGCAUGAAUAUCCGAUUUAUUUCCUAAGGUUCAACCGGGAAUUCUACUAUCUCUAUUCUCAUCACAUUUUCUUAUUUCCACAAUCAAGCAAUUUAUGCUAUAAUAGUUUCAAUACAAUUCAAAUACAUAUAUUAUUAAUGUAGUUUUACUAUUUACACACAACUUACCUCAGAUUACAAAAUGUGGCGACUAGUCGAUUUGCUUGGCUUUCCCCCGGUCUAGGUUUGGAUUCAGUAUUUCUUAAUCUAUAAUAAAAAAUACACUUAUUUAAUCACUUUAUCAACAUAGGCACUCUACAAUUCAUAUUUGGGCAAAAUAUCCAAUUUUCCCCUAGACUUUUGCAAAAUGACCAUUUUACCCCUAAGCCCGGAAAUUAAUUUUUAUCAAAUUUCUUCACAUAUUAGGCCUAGACGACCCCUUUUUACUCUUAUAGCAUAUCCAAAUUCUCACUAUUUCACACACUUAUCAUCUAUUUUACAACUUAUGCAAAAUAGUCAUUUUAGGUGUUUUCAUGCUAACAUCUUUCACAAAAGUUGUUUAUUAGACACCCAAGACUUAUUUUCUUCCUUGAAAACUCAGCAAAAAUUAUAAAUCUUUUCAUGGAAAAACCCUAAACACUUAAUAAUUU
rnacentral:lncRNA from 1 species